GACCUAGAAUUAAGUGGGGCGGCUUGACGCCAGUGAAUGCAUGGGAGAGGUGUUGGGUGUUUUUAGGGGCCGGGCCAGGCCAGACAUCAUCGGGGGGAUUGGUGGUGUAAUGAAGAGGUUAAGAAGAAAGUGGAGACCAAGAAAAGGGCGUAUGCUAAGUUGGUUGAGAGUAAGGACGAAGAAGAGAAGCGGGUAAAUAGGAAAGAGUACAAGUUAGCUAGGAAGGAGGCUAAGUUAGCAGUUACGGCGGCUAAGACGACAGCUUUUAAGAGCUUGUAUGCGGGGUUACAGGAGAAAGGAAGGGAAAAAAAGUUGUUUAGACUCUCUAAGGCUAGGGAGAGGAAGGGUCGUGACCUCGACCAGGUGAAAUGCAUUAAGGGGGAGGACGGUACAGUGUUGGGGGAGGACGGCCACAUUAAGAAUAAAUGACAGUCGUAUUUUCAUAGGCUCUUGAAUGACGAAGGGGAUAGAGCUAUUGUGUUAGGGGAGCUGGAGCACUCAGAGGAGUGUCGGGAUUUUAGUUAUUGUAGACGUUUUAAGGUAGAGGAGGUUAGAGAGGUUGUUCGCAGGAUGCGAAGGGGUAGGGCGACGGGGCCUGAUGAGAUACCGGUGGAUUUUUGGAAAGUUUUCUGGCAAAGCUGGUUUAAGGUGGUUGACUGAAUUGUUUAACAAAAUUUUCAAUACGGCGAAAAUGCCCGAGGCUUGGUGGUGGAGUACUAUGAUCCCUCUUUAUAAGAACAAGGGUGAUAUUUAGAGUUGCAAUAACUAUAGGGGUAUUAAGUUAUUGAGUCACUCUAUGAAGAUUUGGUAGAGAGUGGUCGAGGUGAGGUUGAGACGGAUAGUGUCUAUUUUAGAGAACCAGUUUGGAUUUAUGCCUUGCCACUCGACGACGGAGGCAAUUCACCUGGUACGGAGACUGGUGGAACAGUAUAAAGAAAGGAAGAAGGACCUGCACAUGGUGUUUAUCGACUUGGAGAAGGCAUACGACAAAGUCCCCAGGGAGGUGCUUUGGAGAUGCUUGGAGGUGAGUGGAGUCCCAGUGGCAUAUAUUAGAGCAAUUGAGCUAAAACUCAGGUGAGGACGGCGGGAAGAGACUCAGAGCAUUUCACUGUCAUGACAGGAUUGCAUCAGGGAUCUACUCUUAGUCCCUUUUUGUUUGUUUUGGUGAUGGAUGUGUUGACGCGGCGUAUUCAAGGAGAGAUGCCUUGGUGUAUGCUUUUUGCUGAUGAAGUAGUUUUGAUUGAUGAGACGCGGAGGAAGGGGGGGAUGAUAAAUUAGAAGUGUGGAGACAAACUCUUGAGUCUAAAGGGUUCAGGUUGAGUAGGAGCAAGACAGAGUAUUUGAAAUGCAAGUUUAAUGACGUGAGGCUGGAGAAUGAGGUGGUAGUGAAGUUGGAAUCACAGGUGGUAUGUAAGAGCAAGUAUCUCGGGUCCAUGAUUCAGGGUAACGGUGAGAUUGACGAGGAUGUCUCACACCGUAUUGGGGCGGGAUGGAUGAAGUGGAAGCUCGCUUCAGGGGUGUUGUGUGAUAAGAAGGUGCCGCCCAAGCUUAAAGGCAAACUCUCCAGGGUGGCAGUCCGUCUGGCCAUGUUGUAUGGAGCGGAGUGUUGGCCAGUUAAGAACUCCCACAUUCAAAAAAUGAAGUGGCGGAAAUGCGGAUGUAGUGUUGGAUGUGUGGGCUGACUAGGGGGAAUAGAGUUCGGAAUGAGACUAUCAGGGAGAAGGUUGGUGUGACUCCAAUGGAGAAUAAGAUGCGGGAAGUUUGAUUGAGAUGGUUCGGACACGUGAUGAGGAGGGGCAUGGAUGCCUCGGUUCGUAGGUGUGAGAGACUAGCUUUGGAUGGUUUUAGGCGGGGUAGGGGUAGGCCGAAGAAGUACUGGGGAGAGGUGAUUAGGCGGGACAUGGAGCAGUUACAGUCCACUGUGGACAUGACCCUAGAUAGGAAGAUCUGGAAGACGCGAAAGGAUGCGAAUUAGGAGAGAAGGCUAGAGUCAGUUUGGGUUGCUAGUGGAGGGAAUUACUUGGUGGGGUAUUAUUCUUGUUAUGAGACCUUGUUUCAUGCUUUAUUACGAAUCUGUUAACUUUUCUCUGUUUUUUAUUACUUGUGGGUGUCGUAUUUAUGUUAUGCCAUCUUGUUCCAUGCUUUACUAUGUAUUUGUGUAGUAUUCCGUAUCUCGAGCCGGAGGUCUAUCGGAAACAGCCUUUCUACUUCUUUAGAGGUAGAGGUAUGGGCUGCGUACAUCUUACCCUCCCCAGACCUCACUAUGUGGGAAUACACUGGGUUUGUUGUUGUUGUUGUUAUCAAUAGGAUCAUUCCUCUGUCUACACAAUUCCCAAGCAGAAUUAACAAAACUUUUCAGUGCUACUAGGCAUCCACGAAGCUUUAUCUCUACCCUCAGAAAUUUUACUGUCACCCAAAAGCUUAUGAAUAUGAUCACAAAUCUCCUCAUUGAAAUAACUAGCUAGUAGCUCAUAGUUCCACCCUUCUUUAGAAAGAAAUUAAUUGAUUGAUUUCACUUUAUUAAGAUCAUGAGAAACGGGUAAGUAGUAAUAGAAAGAUCCUUUCUGUUUCCAGUUAUCAUAUCAAACAUCGGCAUAUCCUUCUUUGAUAUCCCACCAAAUUUCUUGAUCAAAGAAAUUUCUAGCCUGCAACAUAGCCUUCAAAACCUGUGAUCCUCCAUUCCAUUCAACUGUUUGAGAAAUAUGCCUCUUACAAUAUUUAUUCCACAUAAAAUUUAACCACAUAGUGUUGGUACUUCUGAAGGUCCACCAAAGUUUGACAUAGAGAGCCUUUGAAAUAUCAAAUAAAGGCCUAAAUCUUAAACCUUCCCUCUUGUUUAGGAACACAAAUUUUGUCUCAUGCAAUCCAAUAAGUAGAUUUUCCUUCCUCUUUGAAAUUUCAUAAAAAUUUUGCAAAAAUUAUAUGAAUAUCAUAAAUUACACAUUUAGGAGGAUUAAUACCAGAUAAAAUAAAAAUGAAAAUGCUUUGUAGGACAUGAUUAACCAGGAUAGCUUUUCCUUCAAAUGACAAAAUCUUUUCUUUCCAGAGUUGCAACUUAUUUUGAUUUUUUUAAUCAACUCUGAGAAGUGAACUUUCUUCUACUUAACAUGGCCAAUAGGACAACCCAUGUAUUUCAAAGGAAAUUUUCCUUUUGAAAAACAUGGAACAUCCUCAACUAAUUGAACAGAAUUAUGAACAAUUUCGUUAAACAUAUCAAAGGAACUCUUAUCUUUUUUAAUAAGCUGAUCUGAUUGUUGUUCAUACAUGCUCAGAGUCCUCAUAAUCAACUGUAAGGAUGUUCUGUUAGCUGUAGCAAAAAUGAUAGUGGCUAAAUGAUUCAGAUUAUCACUCCAUUUAGGCAACUCAUAACUCUUAAAUUCUUGAUUUCUAUAAAUACUAUUCAGUGCUAGAAAUAGCACUUCAGCCACCAAAAUAAACAAAAAAGGAGACAGAGGAACCUCUUGUUUCACCCCUCUAGAAGAAUGAAAAAAAUCAUGUGCCUGACCAUUUAUCAAUACAGAGUACCAAUUAUUAGCAAUAAGCCUCCAUAUCAUAUCAGUCAUCUUAGAGUCGACAUUCAUUUUUUUCAAUACUUUAAUCAAAUAGUGUCAGCCCACUCUAUCAUAAGCUUUAGCCAUAUCCAGCUUAAUAAUAACAUUAUUAGGUUUGUGCCUCAACCUUAUGUCAGUGAUUAUUUCUUGAGCCAACAGAACAUUCUCAGUGAUAAUUCUAUACUUCACAAAUCCUGGUUGAUUUUUAGAAAUCAGUCUUGGAAGAAGACCUUCCAGCCUAUCAUGAAUAAGCAUAGAAAUAACUUUAUUGAGAAAGUUAUUCAAACUAAUUGGUCUACGAUAUGAAAAGGAUUAAAUCACAUCCCUUUUAGGUAUUAGGUUAGUAUGAGUAAUAGAUUUUGAUAGUGUAGACCCAUGAAAUAAAGCAUGUCCUACUUUAAUGAUGUACUGAGCAACAAUAUUCUAGCAAGUCUGAUAAAAAACUCAGAGAAACCAUCAAGUCCACAAGAACUUUCAGCACUAAGUUCAAAAUUCACACUGUUUAUUUUUGUCUCAUCAGGAAUUGCAUUUAGUAAAGCAUUGUCUUCGGCAGAGCUACCUGUAAAUUAUUUUUGAAAAAAACAGACUCCUUCAGCAAUAAUUUCUUUCAGUGAUUCUUUCCAGGAUUCAUCUUUCUUCUAAAUUCUACUAAAAGAAAGCUUCUUUCGUCUAACCUUAACCAGACAGUGAAGAGAUUGAGUGUUUCUAUCCCCUUCUUCAAACCAUUGAACACUAGCUUUUUGCCUUCAGAAUUCCUCCUCAUAAUGAAAAUACAGUUUUAAUUCAGCCUGAGUUUUCUGUAAAAUAGAUCUAUUAAGAGGAGAAGGGUCUCCUUGAAAUAAUUCCUCUUUAAUUUUAACAAUUUCUUCUCUAAUGACCAAUUGCUUAAAAAUAUCACCAAAUUUAUCUUUACUCCAUUUGGAAAUAGCCAUUUUUGUCUUCUUCAGCCUCUAUUUUACCUUAAUAAAAACAUCAUCAUUAUUAUCUGCAACCCAACUCUGUAGAACAACAUUCAAAAAAUCUUCUUUCUCUGUCCAGAAUUUUAAAAACUUGAAAGGUUUAGAAAUAACAAUAUCACUAACACCACAAGGAAGUAAAAGGAGGGAAUGGUCUCAUUCAGUCCUGACCAAAUGUUGCACAUUCACAUUUCCAAAGAUAUCCAUUAGACUCUAAUUAACAAAAAUUCUGUCUAAUCCUUUAAAAAUGCAAUUCCUUCGACUCUCCCAUUCCAUCAGGAAAAUGAAUAGCCUAAAAAAUUAAUAUCAUACAGCUCACAAUAAUUAAUUUAGAGAGCAAAAUCUUCAUUCUCUUGGGAGUAUACAGGUAGACCACCGAUCUUUUCCUCACCCCCUAAAAUUACAUUGAGAUCCCAUCCAACCAGUCAAGGCAAAGAAAAAUUAUGAUUUAGGUAAUAAAGAUCAUCCCACAAACUUAAUCUUUCAAUUGUUGAACAUUUACCCUAAAACAAUGGUAGCUAGCAGAUUAAUUGUAGUGUCCAGUGUAAGAGGCAAAUACAGUUGCUGUCCAGAAACAGAAACAUUCUCCACUUGAAUGUCAUGAUUAACAAAGAACCAGAUUUGUCAAUUUUCAUUAUGAAAAAUAUAUUGCAUGUCUAACCUUCUUCUGUAUUUUUGAAUAUUUCUAGUAUCUGGAAAAGGUUCAAUCAAGGAAAUCAUUGAAAAUUUAUGAUGUUUGUGCAACAUUUGAACUCUAUGAAAGGCCUUUUAAGUGUUAACGGACCGUGUAUUUCAAAACAAAGCUUUACAAUUCAUUUAUGAUUGGAUUUGACUAUCCUUUUAGCCUGAGUUCUUGUGGUCAGUGUACUACCACCCUCUCCUUUCAUCUUAGAUUUUUUGCCUUUAUUACUCAGUUUUGGAGAUAAAUCUGCUUCAAUAACAGUCUUUUGUAUUUAGAUUAGAUUUUCUCCUUCAUCUUUUUCUUUAAUUUCUAUUGUGUCUUUAUGUACCUGUUCCUAAAUAGUUAUCUCUGUUCCUCCAGGGUCUUUUUGAAAGUCUUAAUGUGAUACCAAAGCAUGCAAAAUCUCCAUAAGAACUGAUUUAUCAGCCAUCUCGGGUAUGAUUGCUCUUUCUGUUUCUUUUGUUUCUGCUUCCUUCAUCAUUGACCCCUGCUGCGGCUAGGUAGGUAUCACACCAUCUUCACUUAGGAGUACAAUCUGAAGUGGAAUCUGAUAGUUUGCAUUUUUCAGUUCUUGUCCCAUAAAUAAAGCAUUAUUCUAAAUUUGAACCUCUACCGGCGCUAUAAUUAUUGCUUUAUCCCCUUUUCUUGAUACUCAUCAUCUACUACUUUCUUAUUUACCCCUUCAGCAAUCUGUUUUUGAUUUUCAAUGAACUCUUUCUUUUCAGGUACUUCCAUGUCAUUCGCAGCUUCGUUGACCUCCUCGCUCUUGUCACAAGAAUGAUGCACAUUCACAAUUUUGCCUCCAAUCAAUUCCUCUAAGAUAGUAACCUCAUGUUUGUAUUCCUGUUCCUCAUUUGUUUUCUGUAUAAACACGUGUGACCCAGUCUUUAGUAUACAUCUUCUUCUGUGAAUUAUCAUCUGUUUGGCAUGUUUUUAUUUUGUUUGACAGAUGUCCAUUAAGUACCACAACCAUUGUUAUUGCGUCUGUAUUUUUGGGCAUGCUUGUGCUAAGCUCAGAAUUUAUGUGAUCCUCCUCAUCAAUUUUCUUCUCCUUGAUUGUUGCAAAAGCAUUAUUCUUACUGAUAAUCUGAUUAUUGUCUAAUAUUUCUGUUGGCUUUUGUCGAUCAAAAGUUUCAGUGGUAGGGUGCUACUUUUUUGAAAAAUCUUCCUACUCUAAUAAAUGAAACAUCUUUGUUUGCCUUGGGGAACUCUAGCUCCCUUUCAUGUUGAUUACUCUUCCCCUCUUGCACAGGUUUUCGAAGUUCAGGGUGAAGUACUCUGCACUCUAAUUAUCCAUGCCCUUGUAAUUUGCAUUUUUUGUAAUAUUUUGGUAUCAUAUCUACUGAACCUUGAUUUUUCCCACUCAAGAAGUUUUUUCAGUUUCAUUUGCAAUUUCUACCUCAACAAAUUUAGGAUGAUCUGCCAGCAAAACAAAAAGUACUUUUGACUCUAGCACAAUUAGGUAUAGCCUUUCUUAUGGUUGCAUUAUCCAGAUUGUAGGGUUUUUCCAAUGGCUGAUGUCAUAGAAAAAAUGGAUUCCUUAACGAAAAAAGUUGGUAGUAGGUUCAGAAAGGAAAUUCAUGCCAUAGCUAGGGUAAUUUCCUCCUUCACAUUGAAUUUCUCAUCAUAAAUAAGAGUUCUCAUCAUGUAUGAAUAUCUAUCCUUAGAGAGAAUAUAAUAGCUUGGCUUAGACUCAUGUUAAUAUAAUCAUAUACACAAUUAAAUAUCAUAAGAAACAGUCUAUUCCUAAGUACUUCAAUUUGACUUUCCCUCUUAACAUUGCAUCAUUUCGGAAUUUGAAUUCGAAGCUCAUCAAUGUUUGCCCAUUCAUAAGAGAACUUUCCAACAACUGCGUAUUGAAGGUUCUCUCUGGUAUUCAUUCUUUCCACUUCUUUUUCAGUCCAUGCUACUCUUGGAAUACCAUUAGUGAAACAAGCCUUUUUGGUGGGAAUUAAUUCCACUGCAGCAUUUGAGAUUGUUGAGGCUGGUGGUGUCUUAAGCAGGCUAGCAUAUUGAAACAUACUCGAAGUAUCUUUCUUUUCUUUCUGAUCGUUAGGCAAUUUCUUAGGCUCUGUAGGCAAUUAGGGCCAGUAAUUUUUAAAGAAGUAGAAGUAGGUGAAUUGGGGUGAUGUAGACUAGGAAAAACAAAAUCUUCAAGAAAGUGAGAGCAGCAGCCAGCUUUAUAAAGUUGGUCCACGACCCUAUUGGCCAUUCCGGUGAAGAUUAAUCGAAGAAGAAAAGGAACAACAAGAUACAAGCCAAAUUGCCUCCGGUCCUUUGAAUGAGAUACAUAUGAUAUGCUCGAGGUGCUUGAUGACUCCUUAGUGUUAUUAAAAGAUGCCACAUGGAUGAAGAUUGCCAUUAAGGAGGGUCAAAGUACUUUGACGAGGUUGAAGGAGUGAAAAAUAGGGCUCGAAAUCUCCUUGAAAGGGUCAUGCACCCAAGGCGCUUUGGAUCUGCUCUAGCAUUUCAAAAGCGGGUCAAAACAGUCCUAAUGGGCCUUUUCUUAUAUUUGGGUCACUUUUGGGCCUUAAUUAUGUAAUAUUUAGCCAAACUAUAAAUACUUUCUAGCUAGGCUUAUUUUAGUUAGUUUGGUUUAAUGAUGAUGUUGAAUUCAUGAAAACUCCAUUGGGAGUGUUGAGUGCUUGGAAAAGUCAAUGUUGAACCUUGUUUAGAAACAGUAGUUGUAAGGGAGAUUUGAUCCCUCUUUGGUCAACGUAAGAGCUAGGUGCUCGUAGGUAAUCAAUAAAGGAGGUCUUUGGAUUUGAUACACCCUUUGAUUGUCCUUUUGUUAUCUUCUUGUGUCUAUCUUUCUAUCAUCUAUCCUUUUUAUCCUUUUACUUUCUGUUUGUCAAUUUCAUUGUUUCUUUAGUGUUUGUGUUUAUUUUCGUCGUCAUGAGAGAUAAAAAGUCGCCUCUAGGAUUAUUCAAUCCAAAAAAACCUUGGAUACGUUAUCCGCUUAUUUCUAUUGGAUAAUAUAAUACUCCGUGUAAUGUAUAAACAAUCCAUGUAUAAGGUGAGAUUAAAUUGAAUUGAGUAACCAAACAAUGUAUUGGAUAGGACUAAGUUUUAAUCAAGGGCUAUUCUAAUUAGUGCAACCUGCCAAAUGGGUCCUAGCUCUUAUUAUCUAUAUGUAGUGUAUUGCCAACUUUUAAAUUUCUUUGCUAAUAGUCUAAGGCUUCCAUCUACUCUUCAAUGCCUUGUUCCUUUUAUUUUUAUAGGGUUAACCAUUCUAUUUAAAGUUGUAUCGUAUCUUAGUUUGGUAGAUGUUAGACAUGUGAUAUGGGGUAACCUUUAUAGUUAUGUAACUUAAACCCGUUAAAACAUCGGAAUAGUAUUGACAAAUAUUAGAAGUGUCAUAUACAUUUAUCUUGUAAUAGUAAAGAGAAGUUCGUGGAUUCGUAAUGUUCAUUUAAUAUAGUUAUCUCAUGUCCCAGUUCCUUUAUCAUUAUCAAUUUAUCAUUAGCUAGUUAAAAAUCGAAAACUUAAAUAAAACCGAUAGAAAUCAAAUCAAUGAUAAUUAUUUGAUUUGAUUUUAGAAAUUAAAAAAUUGAUUAAAUUAAUUUUUUUUUAAUUUUAAUAAAAACUAAUCUAAAUCGACCCAUGAACACUCCUAUAUAUGAUUUAUUUAAAUUUAAAAUACAUUAUAUUUCCUACUACGUGAUAUGAAUCAUUGAUAUUUCUUUCAUGAAGUUUCUCCCUUAUUCAUAUAAUUUCGUAGUUUAAAAAAAAAAUUUCCUCUAUCCCCAGCACAUCAGAAUAUCGAACCAUAAAUGAUAAAAGGUAUGAGAGAAAAACAUAUUGGCUGGUGAUUGUCGAUUUAGGAAUAGCUAGGAUUCUUACGAGAAGACGACAUUCAAAAAUUCAACUAGUUGAAGUAGCUCAUUUUCUCAAAGUCGGAAAGGUUAUUUUUUAUUUUAUUCUCUUAUUUAAAAUCGUGCGUGAAACUUUCAUCUUACAUGGCUAUCGAAAAAAAAAAAAAAGUACCAUAAAUAUAACAAAGAUAAUACUAGAAAAGACGAUAGGAAAUAUGUUAUAUUAAGGUUAUUUUAAGAAUUGUAAAUAGUGUGAUUUAACAUAUGACAUGGAUAAUCAAAUGAUUCAUAAAUUUGAAAAUUUAUGAAUAUGUAUCAGUAAAAAGAUCAAAAGUACAUAGAAGUAAUUAAAUGUUAAAUGUGCUUAAUUUGAUGUAUAUCAUUGGGGACUGAAUUAAAAAUUUUCAAGAGGGACAAAAGGUGCUAUUGAUCUUAAUUAUUUAGUUGGUCUAAUUUGAUAUCUAUAUCUAGAUCACAGUAAGUUUACUCAAUACAUCAAAGACAUAAUAAAAAAAAAUAAAAUCAUACUCGCCGUCUGUGGGGAUCGAACCCACGACCACGUGGUUAAAAGCCACGCGCUCUACCACUGAGCUAAGACGGCUUGUUGAACUUAAAACACACAAUGUAAUAUUAAAAUCAUGACUAUGUAAAGCUUUUCUUAAUCCACGUUGAUUCAUAAAUCCCAUUUUAAUUUUAUGUGAAUUUUUAUGGUUGAAAAAGAAUAUAAUUUUCUUUUUAGCAAUUCUUUAGUUUCAAUUUUUUACAUAGCAUACUAACGACCAUAAACUUAAACGACAUUUUAGUAAAUUUGACAUAUCUUUAAUUUAAGACUAUAAGAUUCAAAAAAAUUUCUUUAUUUUCUUAAACUUCAUGCAUGUCAAAAUAAGUCAUUCUCUUUUAAAUCGGUGGAGUAUAUAUAUAUAGAUUGAAUGUGACAUGAUACAUUUUUAACUUAUCGACGAUAUAUAUGAUUUUAGAUAAGAAAUUAUGUAGGUCGGAGUUAGAAUAAAGGGUGAGUAGGUAGUCGAGUGAUUUCUGUCUUUCGACAGAAAAAUAUGGUUUUAGCUUAGAGCAUAUUGUUUGUGUACAAUCACUUUUUGCAGAUUAGGGUAAGCAUGAUAACUUCAAUUUUUAAAAAUAUUGUACCAUUAUCAUACCAAAUCAGUUGGCUCUGUAUUACUAUUAAAUUUGAUUUCAGUAUGUUGGUACUGUAAAUUAGCAAUCAUAAUUUAACUUACAUAUAAUCAGUAUAAUAAAAAAUUAUGACUUUAAUUUUCUAUGAAACGUCUCAAUUCUAACAUAACACCUUAAACAUUUAGAAAUAUUUAAAAGAAAAUAUAUGUAGUUCCUUUAAUUCACCAAUUACACAAAAAAGGCAUACCAAUAAAAUCAGAAUAGUCAAAACUUUGACGUCUGAACAAUGGAAUAACUUCUUUUUUCUAACUAAACAAGUUUAUAAAUUCUAUGUACGAUUUUAUAGUUCUAUAUAAUAUUUAGUAUUUCGAUAUAUUUUUAAAACAAAUUCAAAAAAUCUGACAUUUUGAAUAUGAGAAUAUUUAAAAACGUUUUUCAUAAAAUUUCUUUCUUCAUAUCGGACUCAUCCUUGAUCAAAACAAAUAUUAUUCUUCCUCCGUUAUGAAAUUUUGAGAUUUCAAACUUCUAACCUUGAUCAUAAAUUUAAAUAUAAAAUUUUAAGUAUUUUAAAAUAAAAUUUAAUUAAAAUAUAUAAUUUCAAUAAAAACAAAUUGAUUAAUUUUAGAAAUUCCAAAUGGUACAUUGGGAGGGAGUACUUUGCUUUCCAAAUAGUAUAUUGGGAGGGAGUACAACUGGGACAGUUGUUCGAUAACUGUAUUAUUUGUCUCAAUAACUAUCAAAGUUGUUGGAGCAAAAAUAUUUAAAGAAAGAAAACUAAUUUUUUUUUUUGUCCCUUUUACCUAAUUUUUAAAACUUGAAUGACCCUUAUUUAAUUGUGAAACUUGUUUGUCCCUUUUAAUUCAAGGUCUCGAUGAGCAACUUUAUCUUUUUUAACUUAAUAAUAUUAUGGGACCAUUUAUUUCUUUUUUUAUAAUUAAAGACUUCGGAGUUCCUUCAACUCAUUUUUCUCCUUCCCAUUAGCUCAAAAUGAGCACAUCUUGUACACACUCCACAUGAACCUCCAACAAAUAUGGCUAGAUUUUUCUCUUACAAAAAUCUCUCCAUUCAUCCUCUAUCAAAAAUCCCAACCCCCCAUUUCUUCAAUUCUCAACCCUCUAAUCCCAUAGACAAACCAAGUUUGUAGUCUAAGAGCCUGAGUAGCAGCAUAUAAAGCUUCUCUUAGCCAAAAUCUUCGAUGCUGAUGAAAAUUCUAACCAAGCUCUACUAACCUGCUGAAGAAUCUGGCAUCACCUAACAUAAAAGUUGACAUCAUCUUUUAUCUUCAUGAGUCUUAUCAGACCAUGAAAUUAAUAGAUUGAAACAAUUGAUAUAGUGAUACAGAGAAGUCUGAAUUGUUAAUGCAGUGUCGAUGCCUCAAGGCUUAUUUGAUGUGUUUUUGCAUUGAUUUCCCUUGCCUAAUGGUGCUCGUGUUUACUUGAUAUGAACGUGAACUUCAGUGUUAGGGUGAUGACUAAAAAUACACUCACUUUUUAAACAAAAAGGACUAUUAGUGCACCAUUUAAAACAAUAUGUAUUAUUUUGUGUCUAAAGUAAAGAUAAUGGAUGAUUUUAGGCCUUUACUCUGCAUAACACUAUGAAUACAAAUAUAUCGACAAACAAAGCACUUCUCCAAUGCAAAAUUCAAGUACCUUAUUUUCUUAAAAUCAAGGGGUUGAGUUUGAGGACAAAAUUAGUGUGUGUGCGCGCGCGUGUUAGGAAUUGCAAUUUGAUUCGAGUGAGUUGUUUUUGGAUCUUUUAUAACUAUUUCCAAUGCAAUUGAACAUCUUCAAGAUGGGUCACAAUUUGUGUAAAAACUUUGUGAGCUGGAAAACAAUCAGUGAAACCCAGGAUGUCCUUUUAAGAGAUGGCCAAAUGAGUAACAAUGUCAAGCAUAAAACGUUGAACAGUUAUAAGGAUCAGAAAACAUCACAGAACACUACUAUAACUUUUACACAUUGGUUCGAUCCGUAUGUAAAGCAUAUGUUGUAAAGAGUGAUUUUUGCGCGGUAUCAUGAAUGUAUUGUUUGUUUUAUCGCCAUGAACACGUACAAGUUACAAGGUUGGUUUUUCCUCGCUCACCACCAAGCACAAAUUUAAGUACCUUAGAAAGGCUAAUUCAAGUACUGCCGAACAGUAAAAAUAUUAUACAUGGAAGUACUGAGUUGGUGAUCAACAUUUUCAAGCACACUGUUGUACUCCAUAGUACUUUACAACAUCAACAAAUGAGUUAAAGGCCUUGUUAUAGCAGUAAGAGCGCAACACCUGAUGUGUGAGUUAGGUGCACAUCACGAGUUUGGAUCAUGCAGUGGAUAAAAGCCAGAUAUGUUAGUGAAGAUGGAUAAACAGGUGAGCCCAUUAUCCACCAAGUUCUUAACCGUGUGUAGUGUCCUCCCUUGCAAAAAGAAAAUAACUUGUGUCUGGUUUCAUCUGAAUAGAGAAAUAAAAGGUGUCAAUAUACAACAACAUUUCCCGAGUAAUCCCACAAGUGGGGUUUGGGGAGGGUGGUGCAUACGCAGCCUUACCCGUACCCUGUGAAGGUAGAGAGGUUGUCUCUGAUGGACCCUCGACCUAAGUAACGCAUAUCCAAAUCAAGUAUGAAAAUAAUAUGGAGAACCACUUAAAUGUAAAAACUCCACAUAAAAACAAGAAACAUUUUUGAAUUUUAUUCCUGUAAGGUAUCAAUAUAAUGGCACCUAUUGUGUCAUUAAUGGUAUCUAAAUGCAUCAUCUAAGAAUUGCCUUGACUUAAAGCACUGAAUCAACCAGUGAAUUACUUAAGGCCCUGUAUAAUGAGAAUGUGUGCAUGGUAAUUGGUAUGUUUAAUGGGAGAGCAUCCUAAUUUUUAACCAACAACGACAAAAACAACAUACCCAGUGUAAUCCCACAAGUGCGCUCUGGGGGGGGGGGGGGUUAGCAUUCUAAUUUAACCAAAUUAGGAAAACAUCACUAUGAUAACUUUGGAAGCAUAAUACAGACUCUGUGACCUCUUUGAGGUUCUCGUCAAUACUUAUUUUCCACUACGUUCCACCACUGACCCCAAAAUAACCCUGCUAAUUGAAACUUCUUGCAAUAACCUUAAUUUAGAUGUAAAUCUAAACCAGAAGUCGAUAAAAAAGGGGGAAUGGGUAGUCCUCGAAAACUAGGAUUGAUCUCUCUAUUGAUUUUAUUCACCACUAGAUGGAAUAAGACCGUCAGCAUUUGAAUGAUGCUUAACUGCCUACAUCAGAUUGGUUAAGCUAUCAGUUCUGCACAAAACAGUCUCCUUCCGAGUUGACCGUCUCUCACAAAAAUUCUUUCAUGUGGAUGUAUAAAUUGUUGAAUUCCCUUGAGACAAUAGAAACAUAAUAGUACAGUGAGAAGGUUUAAAAUGAUACAGGUUGUAGGUUCAAAUCGCAGUUGCGACAUUCUAACAUUUUUGUUUGGAUAGCCUUGCUCCACAAUUAUAUUUCACCCCAACACAAGUUAGAAUUCUUGGCUCCCUCCAUCCUAACUUAUGUGGUCCCUUUUAGUCUGUCCAAAAAAGAACGUCACCUUUUUAUAAUUAGAAACAACUUAAUUUUAAAAUUUCCCAAUUACCCUUGGUGAAGUGAUUUACAGCCUUACAAAUGUCUAAGGUUUUUGUUUUAACUACAAAUUUCAAAAGUCUUCUUAAACUUUGUGCCUAGUCAAUCAGUGUCACAUAAAUGUGAAGGAGGGAGAAGUAAUUACCAUCUGGUAAGGGAUAAAAUUUAUCAGUUAUUCAAAUAGCCAUAAACUGCUGCCCCAAGAAGAAAAGAGAGAAAUUUCACUCUAAAAUACUUGAGUCAUGUCCGAAAGGAGUUAACGUUGUGGCAGUAUACCAGGCAUUCAAACUUGAGCACAAAAAAUAUACUGUGCAUUGAGUAAACAUCAUCUGCACAAGAAUCUACACAUGCUUGCUAAAGGAUCCUCUUGAUGACACUAUUAGUACUGAUUAACAGGUAAAUGAAAAACUACUUCCUCACCCAUACUCGGCCAACUUUCUCAGGAUACCUCAAAACGGACAAGUGAAAAAGCAAAGAAUAUGUCUAUUAGCCUAUAUCAGCUUUCACCGUUAGGAGACUAAAACCUCAGAAGGGAUAAAUACUUGUUUUGAGCCAAAAUUGAACCCGCAAUAUGGAAUUUAAAUAUUUAACUGAGAUCAGGUCAUACAAUAUUUGUGGGACAGCUUCCCCAAGUCUUGAUGAAUAACCUAAAGAUGAUAUCAAGAAUAUAGAAUCACUUUUAGCAAAAAUCAAUUCAGAAAGAGCAGGCAGCAUAGUAAUUACAGAAAAGGAAUAAACAGACAAAACAACAAACAAAGAAAAUGAUGCAAUUCCUUUAUUUUUUUUUUGGAGAAACAAAGAAAAUAAUGAUGACCUGAACUUGUUUGGGACUGAAACAUAAUUGUUGUGUCUUAAGAAAAUAAUGCAAUUGAUUUUCUAAAUUCCAAAUACAUAAGUAGACAAACCUCAUUUGUAGAGUUCUUGAUUCGAGGUCUGCAACAUUGACUAUGUCCUCCAUUGCUACAUAAUUAAACCAAUGCAUCAGGUUGAGGACCGAAAAACUUAUCGGACAUUAGUGAGGUACCGGAAUCAGAGUCAGCAUUCAGUUGGUUGCAAAGUCGGAACUUGAUUGUUCAUGUUCCGCUUUAUCCUCUUGGAUCAGUUGUGUGGAGGAACCAAAAGCAGCCAUCUUUUCUGACAAAAUCUUAAGAGCCUCCGGUUUAUUAGCCAAUUCCAUAAGCACCUUGAUCCUCCUAAAAGAAACAUUACUUGGUUUUUGUCCUUUAUCUACCAUUUGAAAGAAACAUCUUUCUGCCUCCGUCAACUUUCCCAGAUCACAAAGCAAAUCAAACAAAACAUCAGAUACCAAAAUAUAUGAGCCAAAUCCUCUAUCAAUCAUGUCGUCCCACAACUCAAUUGCCAUCUCCACUUUCUCGUGUCUCCUGAUCAACCUAAUCAAAAACAUACAUGACUGUGUACUCAGUAAACAUCCAGUCUCCUUCAUCCUCUGGUACAAAGUCCACGAACUUCUCAAAUCAUUUAUCCAAAAAAACGACCUCAAGAACACAUUAUAAGUUGUAGGAUUAGGGCUCAACCCAUUUCUAACCAUAUCAUCCAUCAAACUAUACGCAUCCCCAAUCCUCUUCGCAAUGCAAAAGUUCCUAAUUGCAGCAUUAUAAGCAGCCGCAUCCGGAUAACAUCCAUACUCCCUCAUCUCCUUCAAAACAUGCCUCGCCUUAUCCGGUUGUCCAACCAACCCCAACCCCCCAAUCAAACUCGUAUAAGUUAUCACAUCCGGAUCAAUAUCCUUUCCUCUCAUCUCCUCCACCACCCUAUACGCCUUCUCCAUCUCUCUCCCUUUACAAUACACAUCCACCAAACAAUUAAACGAAACAACAUCCGGUUCAACGCCCAACUCCUUCAUCUCCUUAAAAAAUCCCUCCGCAUCCUCACACGACUUCCAACCCGACAAAAGCACAUUAAACGUCUGAAUAUUCGGCCUAAACGUAUACUUCAACCUAUGAUACACAUUCCUAGCAUCACUCAUACUCUUCUCCUGACACAAACUCCUCAACAAUGCAUUAAAACAAUCAACCCCAAACUCCUUAACCAUUUUCUUGAAACCCCAAAAGCACUCAACAGUUUCCCUAACUGAACACACCUUAGCUACUCUCCCCAACACAACCUGAACUGUCUUGGGUGUUAUACAAGAUUGAUCUUUUCUCUUCAUAUCAACUAAAACCUCCCAAAUCUUAUCAAAUUUACGACUUCUACCUAGUACAUACAACAUCGUAUUUAAAGAAAAUUCAGUAUGAAAAAACCCUUUUGGCUUAUUAGCAUAGUUAAAGAAUUCAAGUGCUUGUAAUGAGUUGGAAUGAGAAAAACGUACCCUUUUAAGGACUUUGUCAAUUAGGUCGUUUGUUAGUUUGAUUUGUGAGGAUUUGAGUGAGUGUUUGAGGAGUUGUGGAGUUUGUGUUGUUGUGAUGAUGUUGUAAAGAGUUUCUACUUGUUUGUCUGUGGGGUUACAAGGGUGGAAAUGGGUUGUUGGGGUUCUUGAUUUAGGUGGAAUGGAGAGAUUCUUGAAGGGGAAAAAUCUUGCCAUUGUUGUUGGAAGUUGUUCAAAGUGUGCUGAUUUUUUGAGCUUAUGGAGUUUCAGAACACAGGGUGUGUUUGGACUUGAGGUACAAAAGAAAACAAUUUUCAGUUUUGUUGUGUUUGGUUUAGAAUGUUUUAAAAUGUAUUGUCGAAUGGACUUAUUUUCUUUGUGAUUUACGGAAAAUGACUUAGGCAUGAAGUAAAAUUGAUUCCGACUCAAAAAAGAAUCUUGGGAUGUUUUAAAUCAUUAUUUACUUUCCAAUUUACGAAAAAUGACUUUUAUGCAUGAAGUAAGAUUGAUUCCGACUCGAAAAAGAAUCUUGAUCCCAAUAAGAGAGUGUCGACUCCUGGCCCCAAAUCGAUAAAUUUGAAUCUAAAGUACGAUGAAGGAUAUAUUUAAUUAAUUUUUAAGUAGAUAAAUAAAUUUGGCAUCAAAAUAUAAUAGUAAUGGUAAAUUUAAGUCCAAAAGUGAAUUAAUUUUAUAUUUAUAUACCGUUUGGAUAGGAUUAAAAGAAUAACUUUUUAGUUUAAGUAAUUACAAGCUUAAAAUAAAUGCUUCUAAAAUAAGUGUUUGGAUAUAAGUGUUGAAAAUUGAAAAAAAACUAUUCAUGUGUUUAGUAAACAAGUGAUGUUACACAUUUUUUUUUGUUGUUAGAAUGACUUAAAUAUCCUUAAAGUUGUUAACAUCAUAAAUAAGAUGAAUUAUUUAUAAUUUUUAAUUUUAAAAUAAAAAUUUUGAGCAAAACUCCGAUGUAAUGAUAAAUUUAAUGAAGACAAAGGAGAAAGAUCAAGAGAAGUGGCAAAGAGAAAAAAAAAAUCAUAUAUUUAAGAGCUACAAGUUUAAGAUAUUACUGAAAAUGGAAAGAAAAAUAAAGGAUAAAAAAGUAAAUUUUUGAUCAAACCUAAAAAAAAAUUUAAUCUAAAAAGCAAAAAAUUGGGGUACCCGCUUCUCACAUUUUGCUUUAUUUUAAUCAAUUUUUAGUUUUUUAAAACAUUUUUUAAUUUUACCAAACACCAAAAAAGACUAAAAAGGAGAUUAAAAACUAAUUUGACAAGAUUUUAAUCCUAUCUAAACGGGCUCUUAGCCAAUUUUCUAAAGUGAAUGGAUAAAUUUGAUCCUUUUUUUAAAAAAAUAUCUAAUUGAAACACUUUAUUAAAACACAUGUCGAUUAAGUCAUUCCGAUUUGUAGGGGGGUGCGCUGAUUUAAUAGGUAUAAUAGAUUUAGUNNNNNNNNNNNNNNNNNNNNNNNNNNNNNNNNNNNNNNNNNNNNNNNNNNNNNNNNNNNNNNNNNNNNNNNNNNNNNNNNNNNNNNNNNNNNNNNNNNNNNNNNNNNNNNNNNNNNNNNNNNNNNNNNNNNNNNNNNNNNNNNNNNNNNNNNNNNNNNNNNNNNNNNNNNNNNNNNNNNNNNNNNNNNNNNNNNNNNNNNNNNNNNNNNNNNNNNNNNNNNNNNNNNNNNNNNNNNNNNNNNNNNNNNNNNNNNNNNNNNNNNNNNNNNNNNNNNNNNNNNNNNNNNNNNNNNNNNNNNNNNNNNNNNNNNNNNNNNNNNNNNNNNNNNNNNNNNNNNNNNNNNNNNNNNNNNNNNNNNNNNNNNNNNNNNNNNNNNNNNNNNNNNNNNNNNNNNNNNNNNNNNNNNNNNNNNNNNNNNNNNNNNNNNNNNNNNNNNNNNNNNNNNNNNNNNNNNNNNNNNNNNNNNNNNNNNNNNNNNNNNNNNNNNNNNNNNNNNNNNNNNNNNNNNNNNNNNNNNNNNNNNNNNNNNNNNNNNNNNNNNNNNNNNNNNNNNNNNNNNNNNNNNNNNNNNNNNNNNNNNNNNNNNNNNNNNNNNNNNNNNNNNNNNNNNNNNNNNNNNNNNNNNNNNNNNNNNNNNNNNNNNNNNNNNNNNNNNNNNNNNNNNNNNNNNNNNNNNNNNNNNNNNNNNNNNNNNNNNNNNNNNNNNNNNNNNNNNNNNNNNNNNNNNNNNNNNNNNNNNNNNNNNNNNNNNNNNNNNNNNNNNNNNNNNNNNNNNNNNNNNNNNNNNNNNNNNNNNNNNNNNNNNNNNNNNNNNNNNNNNNNNNNNNNNNNNNNNNNNNNNNNNNNNNNNNNNNNNNNNNNNNNNNNNNNNNNNNNNNNNNNNNNNNNNNNNNNNNNNNNNNNNNNNNNNNNNNNNNNNNNNNNNNNNNNNNNNNNNNNNNNNNNNNNNNNNNNNNNNNNNNNNNNNNNNNNNNNNNNNNNNNNNNNNNNNNNNNNNNNAAAUAAUAAUAAUAAUAAUUAAAUAAUAAAUAACAAUAAUAAAUUAUAAUAAUAAAUAAUAAUAAUAUAUAUAUAAUAACAAUGUUAAUGAAUAGUAUUAAAUAAUGGAGAACUAGAUAAUAUAUUUGUAAAAAAAUGUGAAUGUGCACAAUUACGUAAAAAAUAAUUUAAUUAAUAAAAUUACAUAAAAUAUCGUAUUUGAUUUUUAAAAUUAUAGAAAUGAUGCUAAAAGAUAAUAAAAUAAUUUAUGCGUUUUUCUAAAUUAUGAAUACGAUACUUUAGUAUGUAUAAAAAUAUUAAUAAUUAAAUAAAUUUGACAAAAUAGCAAGCUAAAAGUGAUAUCGGGAGGUCAAAAUUUGGUGUCAACAAUAUCAAUGAAGGAAUAUUUUUUAAAAGAAAAACAGUAAGUUCUGGGGUGGAAGGUUAGUAGGUAGCAAUGUGUUGCUUUGUUAUUUGUUUGAACUAGAAGUUCUAGUAUUUUUUUUACAAUAAAAUGUGAAAUAUUACCAUACCAAGACAAGGUUAUACAGACUCGAGCAUUCUUCCUCUUAACAGCCUAGCCAGUGUUAAGAGUCAAAUCUCAUACAAAGGAGAAAAAUAAAAAACAACCAAAUCACUUGCCUUAUUUAAUAACUGAUGUCUUAUGUAUUAGGAAUUGAUAAUUUCUUGCCUUCCUAGAAUAAAUCUAUUCUCUCCCUUAACUCCUUUUGUAUCUGUGCAAAUUUCAUAUUUACAACGAGUUAUUUAAAUUGCUUCCAGUUUCUAGCUCGCCAUGUAUAAUAGAUUGCAGCUCCAUACAUAGGUGCCACCAUCUCUUUUUUAAACUGUCUCCAGUGUCUGCGCUUGAUCCAUGCUAGAGUCUGUUGUACUGUCCCACUUAGUAUCAAUACACCAAGCCAACUAGAUAGUUUGUCCUUCACUGCAGUAAAUCAGGGGCAUCCAGAAAAUAGAUGAUAUUGUGUUUCAUCCUCUUCUGCACAUAAAUUGUAGCAAACAUCAUCGACUGCAGCAUGGAGUUUGCUCAGUCUUUGUUUUGUAAGUAACGUCCCUGAUAUGCCAACCACAAAAGAACUCUUUGACUGGGCAGCAUAAUCGAAUUCCAUAUCAACUCUGCCUCAGGCAGUCUACUUAAGUCAACCAACAUUAUAUUGUAACUGGAAGACAUCGAGUAGUUUCCAUUAGCAGUCAACACAUAUCUGUCUCACCAGUGCCAUUUUUCUAUGUAUGCCUUUACAACAUUUAGUUUCCUUCAGUACCAAUUGCAGUCUUGCACUGGAACAUACUACAAAAAACUCGCCAUAGUCUUUAUAUAAAUCCCGUUGACCCAAAGCAAGUCUUUCUUACAUGUUACCUGUCUCACCAACUUACCAACUUCAGCAACAUUCCACAGUUGACAACGUUUGACAUUUAGUCUCACAUACUUCUUAGGCAUACAUACUUGAUCUCAUGCUACUAAGGCAAUUUUUUUGUGUCCCUCCGAAGCAUCCCACAAGAAAUCUCUACACUUCCUAUCCACUUCUUUCAAGACACUUUGUGGCAAGAUAAACACUGCACCCUAAUAGUUGUACAUGGAAAAAAAAUAUAGAUAUUAUCACUUGAAUCCUACUAACAUAUGAUAAGUGUUUGCAGUAGCGUGAAGUGAUUCUUCGAGUUAUCUUCUCCAGUGGUUGAAAACAGUUCAUUUUAUUCCAUAUUUUAGAGGAUAAGCACUAUGAUCUGGCAUAUUAGCUACCCACCCAGAGUUGAUAAAAAUCCAGUUUAUUUUCGAGAACACUCUUGUAUCUCACCUUUUCAUUCCAAGUAUAUCUAUUACCUAGUCGUGGAAGCUCAAUCAACCUAUAGUCCUCCACACAAUUCUGGAGGUCCACUAUCUCUGUCAUGCACACUAGAUUUCUACCAAUUCUAUCUUCUCCAUGUUACACUGAGUUAAAGUCACCCAUGAGUAUCUAUUACUUUAUAUUUUCUAUUUUCACAUCAUCUAAAUAACUCCGCAAACCUCUUCUUUCCUUCUUUUUAUCGAAGGCAUAAACUACAGUAACCAAAAACUCCAUAUUCAAUUUAUAACUCUUCACAUUGCAGGUUAUUACUUGUACACAACUAGUAAUCAAAUGCACCUAGAAAUAAUUUUUCCUCCAUAUAAGCCACACUCUUCCAUUAUAGUGAUAUACGUGAUUUGUGACAUAGUUCCAGGACUCAAACAUAUUUGCUAUUACUUUAGCCACAUUAUUAGACUUUGCUUUAGUCUCCACUAGACCUAUCAACCCUGCAUUCUCUUUACUACAUAGGAAUUUAGCCUCCUUUUGUUUGUUAGGGGCAUAAGUGCCCCUAACAUUCCAACAUAGUAUGUUAUUCAUGAACCUUAGGGGGCACUGGACCUCCCCCAUUUCUACCAACAGUCAGCUGAGCAUCAUUGUCUAUUAUCUCAAGGACUUGAAAUAGGUUUUGUUCUACCUCUGUUUCAUUGGACAUCACCUAUUGUUUUUGUUUAUUAGGGUCAAUAAUUUGGUUUCUGGAAUACUCCAUGCUUCACCCCUACCUUCUAGCCUUAGUGUUCCUACUGUUCAAUCGGGACCUGCACCAUCAUUGUUAUCAUUAUCCUUUGUUUUACUCACCAUUAUCUCUUUACUCUUCUUCAAAUCCUCCUCCACAGGUUGACGAGUCCCUUGCUCCUUUGCGACAUCUUUAUGAGGUAUAUUUACCUUCUUUAGCUCCUUAUAUUUAGGAUUAAGUUAGGGGUUUUUAUUUCUUUAUACGUCUUCAUCAUGUCCAUAUUGCUUAAAGUAGUUACACAAUGUAGGCUUCCAAUCGUAGAGCAUUUUUUGCUCAACCAACUCCCCUCUUUCAUUUCUGAACAAUACUUUAUCCGGCAACUCCCCUCUCAUUUCUACUUUAAUCAAUAGCCUUGCAAAACUCAACCCUUAUUUUUUUUAGUGUUGUGGUCCACCAUCAAUGGCUUCCUAAUCAAACUUCCAAUUUUAUUGAGCCCUUUUGGGCUCCAGUACUUGAAAUCCAACCCCGAUAACUUCACCCAAAUAGGAACCAUAUACAAUUUUUCUCAUGUGAAUUCCAUGUCUGGAUGCCAUGCUUUACAAUUAGGGGUUUAUUGUCAAAGUGGUAUAUCUCACCUUGCAACACCUCCUCAUUGCUCUUACUCAAAUCAAACCUCUCUAGAACAAUACCAUUUUUCGACAUUGAGACCUUAUUACUAUCUGUUCUUUCUUGUACUUUGGCUAUUAUAUUAUUUUAAUGUAGUUACUGUCUUAUUACAUUUUGUUGUUUAUUUUGUUACUAUGUGCUACUCCUAUUUCUUAAUUCAACUUCUCUUAUUCUUUUCUAGAAUGUUUUGAUCUAUUUUUCCCUUGAUCCAAGGGUCAAUUGGAAACAAACUUCUAUACAUCUGAAUAGGGUUUAAGGUCUAUUUACACUCGAUCCUUUCCAUUCCAGAAUCUACUUUGUGAGAUUGUACUAGAUAUAUAUUGUAAUGACCCAAAAUCGCCUCCCGGGACGUCACAUGGUGCCUAGGUCUAUAAGUAGCCCCAAGCUAACCCAUAGAGCCGGUUCCUACUGAUAACCCUUAAUUCAAGGAGAAAAUUUAAAUUCAAACACUAGCACAUCCAUGUUUAUAGAAGAGAAUAAAGGAAAGAAGGGGUACUCGAUCCAAAUGGUCAUGAUAAAGAAAUCCUAACAAAACCGCAAUCUACCAAUAGUCUGACAGGCUCUACAGAUCCAUAAUCUAGAGAGCCGAUGGGGCAGUCCCCUAACUAACUUGGGACAAACUACAGGUAACAACAUAGUCUUUCAGUCCCUGGAAUAUCUAAAGAUUGGUCCUCAAACCAAGAGGAUUCACCACUAUAGGAAAUGUAUGCGAGGUACUCGGAGAUCACGAGCGAGGAAAGGAAUGAGCACCUGAACCUACAUUAUGAGACAAUGUAGCACAUAGACAUAUAUGUGGAUCAGUACUUGGGAAUGUACUGAGUAUGCGGGGGUGAAUACAUGUAUAUAAAAGAGUAUCAAUUUUCUUCAUUCAAAUCAUGUAUGCAAUAUGAGAUGACUCACAUGGCUUGAAUAAGUAUGAAAUAUAAAGUUCAUAAAUCAUAUAAGAUAAGGCAUAUUACACAAAUCUCAUAAGUCAUCGUUCUUCAACCUCAAAACUGAAAAUCUUCUCUUAUUCUCAAUACUCAAGGAAAAAGGGGCUUUAGACAGUACCAUCAACUCAUGCAUAUGGGAUGGUGGGUAAAACAAUGUUUAAUGUUCAAGAUUUUAUAUCUCUUCAAACUCAAAUACUAAAAAUAUGACCUCAUGAGAUUUUAGAACAUACGUAGAGGCAUAUCAUGCAAGUUAGGAAAAUAUCUCAUUUCAAGCUUUAGGAGAAAUCAUCUAUCUCAAGGCAAAAUACUCUAGUUUAGUGAAAAUAGUUCAUAGGAGGGAAAAUACCUUAGUUUGCAUAGAAGUAGCUGAUUUCAAGUUUAAAAGGACAAGGGAGAUUCUCGUAACAUACAUAAACCAUGCGAGCUACAUGGAGUCCAACAUUUUGUCCUCCUAAGAAAGAGACCCCACGUUAUGGAGGAGCGUCAUACUCAUGCCAGGGAGUAUAACCUAGGUCUAGUUAUCACUAAACGAAACUUGGCCUCGGGCCCAAUCAUAAGCAUUAUAAACUCAGCCUCAUGCCCAACCUAUGGUGGCACGUAGUUUUAGGGUAAGAAACCGUAGUGACAUACCCGCUUGGCGCUAAAUACUACUCCCUUUAGAUUAUCUGCGCUCAUAUCAUAAAAAUCCACUUUAGAAUAAUCUCAUGGUUCACCACGAACCCAAUAAUCAAAUCGGUAAUCUCAUAUAGUGAAGUGGAUUUCAAAGAUCAAGGACCAUUAGGUCAACUCAUUUCUCAAUUAUCUCAAAAUACUCAAAUCAUAAGGGCUUAUAGCACAAGAGUUCAUAAAUUCACAAGUCUCAAAUAGGGCUUUCUAAACCAUAGUUCAAUAUCAAGUUAAAGCUCAUCAAAAGCAUAAUAUAUAGCAUAUAGAUUCAUAAAUCAUAUGGAAAUCUAGGAAUUUUAGCAAUUUAUCUCAAUUUUCAAUUUAGUCAUAUGCUUCAAUAUCUCAAACAUUGCAAACAUUAACUUCUUAUGGAGUAAAAUCAUGGGGUUUAUAUCCAGCUGUAAUUUCUUAAAAAAAACAUGCAAAAUCAUGUCAUUUGACUCUUAAUUCAUGGGGAAUAUCAAGAUAAUGCAUUCGAUAAUAAUGGGUGAAAAAUCCUAAUUCAAUUUCAUGUAAAACCUCAUAGAUUUUAGGAAAAUCAUGAUGUAAUAAACCUUUUGGGCACAAGGGUGAAAGGGUUACCCUUGUUCAAAACCCCAUAUAUCUUAGAUUAGGAGAUUGGAUGAACAAGUUUUCUCUAAACUUCCACUUCUUACUCUUGGGAGAGGGUUCUUGAAGUCUUUGAACUUGGGAGAUUCAAUUCUCAACUCACUAGCACAAUCUAUGGGGAGUUCUUAGAUUUCUUGAGGAAGAAUUCUUACUUUGAUAAGAUUUGGAGGAGAAAACCCUAGCCCUUAAGUGUUAGAGAUGAGCAAAUGAGGCCAGCUGGUUCAUAUAGAAUAUAUAAAAGGGUUUAAAUGAGUAGAAAGGACCGAAAUACCCUUUUAAAAAUGAGUUAAAAAUUAUUGAUCGGGGUCUGCGACAGUCGAAAUAACGGUCCAUCAAAAGUUUGAGGGUCCAUCAGAUCAUCCAUCACUCGAGGGUUAAAAAUGGAACACACUGCCUCAAUGGUCAGAACGACGGUCCGUCAAAAUUUUGAUGGUCUGCCAGAUCGUUCAUCGCACGAGGGCCAGGAUGAGGCCAUACUGCCUCUGCUUGACGGUCACCGCGACGGUCUAUUGAAUUUUUAGCGGUUCACUAUUUUGGCCGUCGCACGAUGGCUAGAAAAAAGAGUCACUACCUUGGUUUGAUGGGAUGAUCGACGGUCCGUCGAAGACUUGACGGUCCGUCGGAUCGACCGUCAAACCUGGGCAAUUCCGACAACACUUAGGAAAACGGCCAUAACUUCUCACCCCGAUACCAGAUUUUGAUGAAAUUUGUAUCGUUGGAAAGCUAACUCAAUUUUCCACACCAUAGGAAGUAAUUUUUACGAAAAAUCCACAAGAUUAAAACAUUAAUUAAUUAGGGAGUCCUUUCUCAAUCUCUUAGGGCUGAAAUUAUACUUCAUUCGACAUGCAUUCCAAGGUUCAAACUAUGAGGGAACUUUACGGGGUCUUAAAAUAUCUCCCCCUUGGGAACAUUCAUCCUCAAAUGUCGCUAGUUAUGCUAGAGGUACAGGAAAAAUAGAGUACACAUAGCUAAAAUAAAUACUAAACGGUUCCAGAUUUUUCUAAACUCAUGACCACUGUGAAUAUUGCAAGAACUCAUACAAUGAUGGAUGCAUAGCUAAACUUUGUAUAAGAAGGGCUGAAUUAAAGAAGAAUAGUACCUUCAAAUUGAUCUGAACUCUCAAAAAAGAGGUACGGUUAUUUGGCUCGCAUGUCUGCUUCUGCCUCCCAAGUAGCACCCUCGACAGAUUGGUUCCGCCAUAAAACCUUGACCAAGGGAACUUCUUUGUUCCUGAGUCUACGGAUCUGAAAAUCUAGGAUCUCCAUGGGAAUCUCAUCAAAGAAAAGACUCUCCUGAAUAUUGACACUCUCUGAAGGAUCAACCACAAUAGAAUCGCCAAUAUACUUCUUGAGCAUGGAGAUAUGAAAGAUAGGGUGGACGGCGGACAACUCUGAGGGCAACUCAACCUCAUAUGCUACCUUACAAACACGGCUCAAAACUCUAUAUUGUUCAACAUAACGAGGAUUCAAAUUUCCCUUUUUACCAAAUCUUUUCACCCCUUUCAUGGGUGAAAUCUUCAAGUCUACCAAACACCCACCUCAAACUAAAAAUCUCUCCUUCUCACAUCGGCAUAAGACUUUGAUGACUUUGAGCCAUCUUCAACCUUUCUCUAAUCAACUUAACUUUCUCCAUAGCUUCAAAUACUGUAUCAGGCCCAAUCGCGACCGCCUCACCCAUUUUGAACCAACCUACGGGCGAUCUAUACCUCCUAUCAUACAAGGCCUCAAACGGUGCCAUCUCAAUUCUAGCAUGGAAACUAUUAUUAUAGGAAAACUCAAUCAAUGGCAAAUGCUCAUCCCAACUACCUUUGAAAUCAAGAGUACACACCCUCAACAUAUCCUCCAGGGUCUGAAUGGUCCUCUCUGCCUGACCAUUUAUCUGCGGGUAAAACAUGGAACUCAAGAGAACUUGGGUACCAAGAACCUACUAAAAUGCCUUUCAAAACUGAGAAGUAAACUGAGUACCCCUAUCCGAAAUGACAGACAAGGGGACUUCAUGCAGCCUGACCAACUCCCGGAUGUACAAUCUAGUAUAAUCCUCAGCCGUAUAAAAAGUAUGUACGAGCAAGAAAUAUGCGGACUUUGUCAACCUAUCCACAACAACCCAAAUAGAGUCAUAACAACAACGCGAAAAAAGCAAUUCAAUCACAAAAUCCAUAUUCACCGCUUCCCACUUCCAAGUAGGUAUACUAAACUCUUGCAUCACGCCACCAGGUCUUUGAUGCUCUACCUUAACCUAUUGACAUGUUGCAUACCUCGCUACACACUCGGCUAUGUCCUUCUUUAUACCAUUCCACUAAUAGAUUUCCCACAAGUCAUGGUACAUCUUGGUAGUGCCGGGAUGAAUGGAAUAACGCGCGCCAUGCGCUUCAGCCAAAACCCUCUGCCUCAAAUCAUCAACACACGGGACACACAACCUGCCAUGCAAUCUCAACACACCAUCUCCCCCUUAAGAGAAAACCUUGACCUUUUGGUCCUUAACUGACUCCUUUAGUUUGACCAAACUAGGAUUCCUAUCCUGCUUCUCCUUCAUUUCUGAGACUAAAGAGAAUUCGAAACUACUCUGCACCAGUGUACUCCCCUUCGCUGAAUCAAGCAACCUAACACCUAACUUAGCCAAACAAUGAACAUCAUGAGUCAACUCUCUUAUACCUUCCCCUAUAUGCGCAACACUAUCCAUGGAUAAUCUACUAAGGGUGUCCAUCACUAUAUUGGCCUUGCCCGGGUGAUACAAUACACUCAUAUCAUAAUCUUUCAACAACUCCAACCACCUUCUCUGCCUAAGAUUUAACUCCUUCUGGGUGAAUACAUACUGCAGGCUCUUAUGAUCAGUAAACACAUCCACAUGGACACUAUAAAGAUAGUGUCUCCAAAUUUUCAAAGCAAAGACCACAGCAGCUAGCUCAAGGUCAUGGGUCAGGUAAUUCUUUUCAUACAUUUUUAAUUGACUAGAGGCAUAGGCUAUAACCUUACCUUUCUGUAUCAACACACAUCCCAAACCAACUCCAGAGGCAUCACAAUAUACCACAAAAUCAUUAGAACCAUCAGGCAAAGUCAACACAGGGGCUAAAGUGAGCCGAGUCUUCAGCUCCUAAAAACUCUUCUCACAGGACUCAGACCACAUGAAUUUAACAUUCUUUUGGGUUAAUUGGAUCAUAAGAGACGCAAGGAAAGAAAAACCCUCAAUAAAAUAAAGAUAAUAGCCAGCUAGACCCAAAAAACUCCUAAUGUCGGACGGGGAGAUAGGUCUAGGCCAAUUUUUAAUGGCUUCGAUCUUUAGGGAAUCAACUCUAAUACCCUCAGCUGAAACAACAUAACCCAGAAAGGCUACAGACCUUAUCCUAAAUUCACACUUACUGAAUUUGGCGAACAACUGAUGGUCUCUAAAAGUUUGCAAGAAAAUUCUAAGGUACUGUGCAUGGUCAUUCUCAUCACGGGAGUACACAAGGAUGUCAUCUAUGAAGACAAUGAUGAACAUAUCAAGAUAUCACUUGAACACUGAUUCAUAAGGUCCAUGAAAGCAGUUGGGGCAUUGGUUAGCCCGAAGGACAUAACUAGGAACUCAAAGUGACCAUAGCUGGUUCGGAAGGCUGUCUUUGGAAUAUCACACUUCCUGACCUUAAGUUGAUGAUAGCUAGAUCUAAGGUCUAUCUUGGAAAAAUAACUUACACCUUGCUACUGAUCAAAUAGGUCAUCAAUUCUUGGAAGAGAAUACCUAUUUUUUAUUGUGACCUUGUUCAGUUGACGGUAGUCAAUACACAUACGCAAGGAUCCAUCAUUUUUUCACAUGAAUAAAAUAGGUACGCCCCAAGGAGAGAUACUGGGUCUAAUGAAACCUUUAUCUAAAAGAUCUUUGAGUUGCUUUUUCAGCUCCUUGAGCUCAGCAGGUGUCAUACGGUAUGGGGGGUAGAAAUAGGUCGAGUGUCAGAAAGAAGAUCAACUCCAAACUCUAUCUCUCUAUUGGAAGGUAUCCCUGGGAGAUCUUUCGGAAAGAUAACUGGGAACUCAUUAACAACAUCGACAGACUGAAUAGUUGGAGUUUUGGACUGAGUGUCUUUGACUCUAACUAGGUGAUAGAUGCAACCUUUGGAUAUUAGCUUUUUGGCUUUGAUGCAGGAGAUGAAAUGACUUUUGGGAGAUACCAAACUCCCGGACCAAUCAAACACUAGUUUGUCAGGAAACUAAAAUUUGACUACACGGGUACUACAAUCUAUAGACGCAUAGCAAGAAUGAAGCCAAUCCAUACCCAGAAUACGGUCAAAAUCUACCAUGUCUAACUCUAUCAAGUCUGCAAGUAUGACUCUAUGAAGCAUAGUGACAGGGCAAUCUCUAUGUACUUGUUUAGCAACAACUGACUCUCUGACUGGUGUAGAAACUAGGAAAGGCUCGGGAAUCCUUUCGGGACCCCUUUUGAAAUUCACAGCCACAAGUGGGGUCACAAAAGAGAGAUUUAACCCAGGGUCCAACAACACAUAAAUAUUAAGACAAAAGACUCGAAGCAUACCAGUAACAACAUCAUAGGAGUCCUUCUGCUCCCGACGGGAUGACAAAUCACAAAAUCUAUUCUGGCGCUUAAUGCCAGCGGUGCUAGAAGAAGCGCCCUGAACAGGGGCGAAUGAGGUACAUGAGCUGGUGCACUAGUAGCCUGUGCUGGAGGUCGAGCAUCUUUGUUCCCCUGUCUGGCAUGGGGGCAAUCUCUAAGUCUGUGGCCCUGCUUUCCACAACCAAAACAACCUCUUGCAUCACCAAAACACUCCCCGAGAUGAUUCCUACCAUAUUUAGCACUAGGAGGAUGAUAGAGCUAGUUACCAACACUGUUCUGCAAUCCGACAUAAAAGGCCUACCCAUUUGCUCCAGCCUACCCCUAGGAACGGGAGCGCUAGCUGAUAAAGGCACUGGAGCAGACAAACGUCUCUGAAACUGAGGGCGGUUCCCUCCAUGGAACUUAGGCCGGCUAAACUCAUGUUGAUCAGAUCUCGCCCUCUUGUUACCCCUCAUCUUUUUCCUCUCCAUAAGCUUAUCCGUCUCUAUCUGUUGGGCAUGAAUUAUCAACCUAGCUAGAUCCGUAUCCCUAUUCAACAUCGUGGUCCUACACUCCUUUAGCACCAACCCAGAAACACUGAUCACAAACUUACUCAUACAAGCUCGGGUGUUGGAGAUCAAAUCAGAAGCGCACUUGACCAACUGACUGAACUUCAAGCAGUACUCCUUAACAGUCAUGGAGCCCUGUCUCAAGUUCAUGAACUCCUCAAUCUUGGCCUCCCUCAUCUCAAGUGGAAAAAAUCAGUCUAAGAAUGCAUCUUGGAAUACUUGCCAAGUCAUAAGAGCGACAUCUUUAUCUCUACCCUUCCUCCACGACACAACCCAAUCAUAUGCAAUGUCCUUCAGUCUGUAAGACGCCAACUCAACACUUUCUUCUUCUGAGACAUGCAUCACGUCAGUGAUUUUCCUUACCUCCUCCAAGUACAGCUGUGGGUCCUCAUCAGUUCCCGACCCAUAGAACUCAGGCGGGUUCAUCUGUAGAAAGUCACAAAUUCUAGCCAUGGUUAUAUCACCUCCCUGCUGAUUAGCAGUUGGGGCCCAGUUAUUGGUCCAAACAUUAGCAGUUGCCACUUGGACCAACGCCUGAAAGGCCACCUAAAUUCAGCGUGGGACACCGUCUCAUUCAGAGGAUCAAUCGGUAGGGACUAUUCCUCAUUGUACCUAUGAAUAUUCGCACUUUGAAGAGGCAUUUUUUGAAAAUAGAGAAGCACAAAUUAUUAGAUAAGGAGGAGACAACCGGAGGUACGAUAGAAUCUAAAAAAAAAGACACAACUUUUCCUAAAACAUUUUGUAGCCUCCUGCCCAUAGAUGUGGCGCACUACACACUGAUGAGCAAGACUCUACUCAACGUGGCUUGUCAGACUCUCUAGGACUCCUUAGAAACCAGGCUCUGAUACCACUUUGUAAUAACCCAAAAUCGCCUCCCGGGACAUCACAUGGUGCCUAGGGCUAUAAGUAUCCCCAAGCUAACCCAUAGAGCCGGUUACUGCUGAUAACCCUUAAUUCAAGGAAAAAAUUUAAAUUCAAACACUAGCACAUCCAUGUUUAUAGAAGGGAAUAAAGAAAAGAAGGGGUACUUGAUCCAAAUGAUCAUGAUAAAGAAAUCCCAACAAAACUACAAUCUACCAAAUAGUCUGACAAAGCCUCUACAAAUCCAUAAUCUAGAGAGCCGAUGGGACAGUCCCCCAACUGACUUGGGACGAACAACAGGUAACAACAUAGUCGUUCAGUCCCUGGAAUAUCUGAAGAUCGGUCCUCGAACCAAGAGGACUCACCACUGUAGAAAAUGUACGCAAGGUACUCGAAGAUCACGGGCGAGGCUGGGAUUGAGCACCUGAGCCUACAUUAUGAAACAAUAUAGCACAUAGACAUACAUAUGGAUCAAUACUUGGGAAUGUACUGAGUAUGCGGGGGUGAAUACAUGUAUAUAAAUCAGUAUCAAUUUUUUUCAUUCAAAUCAUGUAUGCAAUAUAAGAUGACUCACAUGGCUUGAAUAAGUAUGAAAUAUAAAGUUCAUGAAUCAUAUAAGAUGAGGCAUAUUACACAAAUCUCGUGAGUCAUCGCUCUUCAACCUUAAAAUCAAAAAUCUUCUCUUAUUCUCAAUACUCAAGGCAAAAAAGGCUUUAGACAGUACCAUCAACUCAUGUAUAUGGGAUAGUAGGUAAAACAAUAUUUAAUGUUCAAGAUUUUAUAUCUCUUCAAACUCAAAUACUAGAAAUACAACCUCAUGAGAUUUUAGAACAUACGUAGAGGCAUAUCAUGCAAGUUAGGAAAAUAUCUCAUUUCAAGCUUUAGGAGAAAUCAUCUAUCUCAAGGCAAAAUACUCUAGUUUAGUGAAAAUAGUUCAUAGGAGAGAAAAUACCUUAGUUUGCAAAGGAUAGCUGAUUUCAAGUUUAAAAGGGCAAGGGAGGUUCUCGUAACCGACAUAACCAUGCGGCUACAUGGAGUCCAAUGUUUUAUCCUCCUAAGGAAGAGACCCCACGUUGGGGAGGAGCGUCAUACUCUUGCCAGGGAGUAUAACCUAGGUGUAGUGAUCACUAAAUGAAACUCGGCCUCAGGCCCAAUCAUAAUCAUCAUAAACUCGACCUCAGGCCUAACCUACGGUGGUAUGCAGUUUUGGGGUAAGAAACCAUAGUAACUUACCCGCUCGGUGCUAAAUAUACUUCCUUUAGAUUAUCUGCGCUCAUCUCACAAAAAACCACUUUUAGAAUAAUCUCAUGGUUCACCACGAACACAAUGAUCAAAUCGAUAAUCUCAUAUAGUGAAGUGGAUUUCAAAGCUCAAGGACCAUUAGGUCAAUUCAUUUCUCAAUUAUCUCAAAAUACUCAAAUCAUGGGGGCUUAUAGCACAAGAGUUCAUAAAUUCACAAGUCUCAAAUAGGGCUUUCUAAACCAUAGUUCAAUAUCAAGUUAAAGCUCAUCAAAAGCAUAAUAUAUAGCAUAUAGAUUCAUAAAUCAUAUGGAAAUCUAGGAAUUUUAGCAAUUUAUCUCAAUUUUCAAUUUAGUCAUAUGCUUCAAUAUCUCAAACAUUGCAAACAUUAACUUCUUAUGGAGUAAAAUCAUGGGGUUUAUAUCCAGCUGUAAUUUCUUAAAAAAAACAUGCAAAAUCAUGUCAUUUGACUCUUAAUUCAUGGGGAAUAUCAAGAUAAUGCAUUCGAUAAUAAUGGGUGAAAAAUCUAUAGCUAUGAGUUUGUGAGUUCAAGACAAGUAUAUUGCUUAUAUCAUUAUUCUCUUCAUCUUAAAUCUACAUUCUUUGCGGUUCAAACACAAGAACACGCCAUUCUAACAUCUAACCUGUUCGAGAGAAAGGUUAUUUGUCUAGAAAAGAAGACGCAUAGACCAACGCCAGUCUAACAUCUGACUUGUUCGAGAGAAAAGUUAUUUGUCUGGAAAAGAGAUAAUGUCAAGGUAGUAGGACACCCUUUCCUAUUAAAAAGCUAGUGCCGUACCUGGACUAACUUCUUGGAGAAUUCGUACCGUUAGUCACGCUUUAAGCUCGAGAGAGUUAAAGUGAAAUAGUCCUUGUUUAGGUCGAGAGACGCUUGGAUUUACCAUCGACUACAAUUCUCUAUAAGCAAUUACAUGUCAAGACUCUACACACUCAUAGCCAAUAGAGACGUAUACCUCAGAAGGUGGACAUAACCCCAACGCCUCAAUUCUCAUUGUUUACAACACACGUGACAAUCUCUCUUUAUUUUGCUAUUUUCAGUUCUUACAUUCUUGUUUUGGUUACAUACUACAAUCCCCCCUUUCCUACGAGACUUGCACUAAAAGUCUAGUAAUUUUUCUUGCUUGUUGGCCAAGCUAUUCUCUGUGGGAUCGAUACCCAACCCAGGUUGGGUUCUAUAUUUGCUAACGACCGCUUUACACUCCCACGAGAGCUGUAGAUUGAGCGUUAUCAAAAAUUGGCGCCGUUGCCGGGGAAUACGAGUGUCAAUCAAGUUCGUGAAAAUUACUAGACCCUUUGGUCAAAGAUUCUCGUACUUUUACGUUUAGUUUUUGUUUUUGUUUAUUGCAGGUUUUUCUUUUAGUGCAUGCCCCAUACUAGAAGUUCUGGUCAACCGUUAUUACCAAUCAAUCCGGAACCACAACGAAUCAGAAGAAUGGAAGCACAAGCGGAAAUCGACAGGAUGGCUGCUCAACAUGAGCAAGCAAGAUUAGCUGCUCUUGCCGCUGCUCAAGUCCAACAACAAAACAUUGAUAAUCCUGGACGAGCAACAAAUCCUGACGAUGAAGAUUUAGGAGAUGACGAGUUGAUCAACCCAAGGCAUGGCGCUGAAAUGGCAACACCUACCAACAGACGAGGUCGACAAGCUCGGUACAGAUAUGAUCGCCAACCUUUGCAACCAGCUUUCGACGAUGAUGAUGAUGAUCUUGAUGGUGCCGGAGCCACUGGAGCUAUAAUUCCACCACCAUUAGCGCCCGGAGCCAAGUUCAACAUCACUAGCACCAUGAUUCAGUUAUUGCAACUCAAGGGAUUAUUUGGUGGACUAGCAGGCGAUGAUCCGAAUAUGCAUCUCAUCAACUUUAUUUCUACAUGCAAGUCUUUUGACAAUCCUGGAGUUGGUCAGAAUGCUAUUCGAUUACGUCUAUUUCCAUUGUCUCUGUCUGGGGAGGCAACAUUAUGGUUGAAUGGGCUGACUCCUGAUUCUAUUACAAAUUGGAGGCAAUUGAGAGACGCUUUCCUAGAAAGAUUCUUUCCGCCAUCCAAGAGGGCUCAAUUGAGAGAUGAAAUCAGCAACUUUCGUCAGCUUCCCUCUGAAGCUCUUCACGAAACAUGGGAGAGGUUCAAGACAAAGCUAGCGAGAUGCCCAAACCAUCACAUGACUAAUGUUCACCUCAUGGAGAUCUUAUAUAGAGCCUUGAAUUCAGUAACUAAACCAGUGGUGGACAACGCAGCUGGAGGUUCUUUUAUGGACCUCACCUUUGGUCAAGCAAGCAACAUGCUAGAUCGUAUGACGAAACAAAGUAGAGCUUGGCAUACCAGGGAUUCUGAGGUAGCAAGCCCCACUUUAUCUAUUGGCAUGUCUGCAGAUCAAAGAAGGAGAGAAGAAGAACGUGAUCAAGAUAUGGCGCACAUGAAAACCCAAAUGGAUCUUCUUACAAAGCAUCUAUUAGGGAAGACUGAAAAAGUGAAAUCUAUUGCGUCAAAAGGAAGAGACGAAUCUGAUUCAGAAGAGGAGGCCAACUACUUGAACAAUCAGGGGGGUUUCCGUGGGAAUGCCCAAGGAAACCAAGGUCGGAACUAUUAUGACAAAUCUGGAGGUAAAGACCAAGGUAGUUGGAAGAAAAAUAAUGAAAACAGUGGUUUGUACGUUCCCCCUGGUAGACGUGAUACCACCACAUCUAAUUCUAUGGAAGACAUGAUGGCUAAGUUAUUGAAAGGAGUGGAAGCGACGAAUGCGGGAGUUAAGGAGGUGAUUGACGAUUUGGCCUCCAUGAAGCAAUUAGUUGAUUCUCAUUCCACUUCUAUCAAGCAACUAGAGCAGCAAUUCAGUCAACUUUCAGCAACACUCAACCAAAGAAAAGCCGGCACCUUGCCUAGCGAUACGGUGCAAAAUCCAAGGACUGAUGGGUCAUGCAUGGCCAUCACUACGAGGAGUGGUAAGGUGCUGGAAACUUCAGCAGAAGGCAAGCAAAUAGUUGACAGAACAGCAGACACAACCGCCACACCUAGUGACGCCACUAGGGAAGACGCCGCAAUAUCCACUUCCAACGUCAAGGACGUGUUGCCUAGUGACGUGCAGCCUGAAAAAAGUAAUAAACGGAAGCAAGAGGAGAAGAAAGCCAUGGAAAGAACACUUCCAUACCCACCACCACCUUUUCCACAAAGACUGAAGAAGGCGGCCGAUGACACUAAGUUCAGCAAGUUCAUGACCAUCUUGAAGCAGCUGACUAUUAAUGUCCCAUUGGUAGAGGCACUUGAACAAAUGCCUGGGUAUGCGAAGUUUAUGAAAGAUCUUUUGACUAAGAAGAGGGCAGCAAGCUAUGAGCUGAAAGAAGAUGUGCAUCAUUGUAGUGCAAUAGCUACCCGAUCCAUAGUUCAGAAGAAGGCCGACCCCGGAGCUUUCACUAUUCCUUGCACCGUCGGAUCUUUGGACUUUGCUAAAGCAUUAUGUGACUUAGGAGCCAGCAUCAACUUGAUGCCAUUAUCAAUCUACAAGAAGUUGGGGUUGGGAGAUCCUACACCAACUAAUAUGAAGCUUGUUAUGGCGGAUAGGUCGGUAAAACGACCGGUUGGUAUUCUAUGCGAUGUCUUGGUGAAGGUAUCUUCAUUCAUAUUUCCAGCAGACUUUGUCAUCUUGGAUUGCGAAGCAGAUUCAGAGGUUCCCAUAAUCUUGGGACGCCCUUUCCUUGCUACGGGAAGUGUGCUCAUAGAUUUGAGAGCUAAUGAACUUUCAUUCCGAAUAAAUGAUGAAGUGGUGCGCUUUGAUGUUUGCAAAUCAAUGAAGCAACCCAAAGAUCUAAGUGUAUUUUCUGUGACUGAUGUUGUCGUUGAUGACGAGGAUGAGUUACUUGCUGAAGAACAAAUUCUUGAUGAUCCUUUGGAGGUUUUGCUCAUGGAAGAAGAUGAUGAUGAUGCUGAAAUUUCUGAAGAUGAUAUUUGUGCUCUAUCGGGAUUAGGAGCAUAUCGCUAUCCUCCUAAGAAGCUGGAUCUUGAUCUCAAGAAUCGACCCACACCACCAGCUAAGCCAUCUAUUGAAGAACCACCCACAUUAGAAUUAAAGGAGCUGCCAAGCCAUUUGAAGUAUGCAUUCUUAGGAAGCGGAAACACUCUUCCAGUCAUAGUGGCAGCCGAUUUAGGUGAGCAACAAGUUGCAGCUCUUAUUGCAAUUUUACGCAAGUAUAUUAGAGCUAUUGGAUGGACCAUUGCGGAUAUCCUUGGUAUUCCACCUGGAAUUUGCACUCAUAAAAUUCAGCUCCAAGAAAAGUGCACACCCACCAUCGAACACCAAAGACGUCUAAACCCACCAAUGCAAGAGGUGGUGAAGAAGGAGAUUAUCAAGUGGUUAGACGCAGGAGUUGUGUAUCCUAUUUCUGAUAGUACAUGGGUAAGCCCAGUACAAUGUGUUCCCAAGAAAGGAGGUAUGACGGUGGUUGCGAAUGCAAAGAAUGAGCUUAUUCCACUCAGGCCCGUCACUGGAUGGAGAGUAUGCAUGGACUACCGCAAGCUGAAUUCUUGGACUCUCAAGGAUCACUUCCCCAUGCCAUUUAUGGACCAAAUGCUAGAUCGAUUAGCGGGAAAAGGAUGGUUUUGCUUUCUUGAUGGUUAUUCAGGUUAUAAUCAGAUUUUUAUUGCACCAGAAGACCAAGAGAAGACAACGUUUACAUGCCCAUAUGGUACGUUUGCCUUCAAACGUAUGCCAUUCGGGUUAUGUAAUGCACCAGCCACCUUUCAGCGAUGUAUGAUGUCUAUUUUCUCUGAUAUGGUAGAAGACACUUUGGAGGUAUUUAUGGACGACUUUUCAGUUGUUGGGGAGUCUUUCGAAGCAUGUUUGGUGAAUUUAAGCAUGGCAUUACAAAGAUGUGUAGAGUUCAACCUUGUGCUGAAUUGGGAGAAGUGCCACUUCAUGGUAAAAGAAGGAAUUGUUCUUGGGCACAAGAUCUCCGAAAAAGGAAUAGAGGUUGAUCGCGCCAAAAUAGAGGUAAUUGAGAAGCUACCACCUCCAAUUUCGGUGAAGGGAGUUCGUAGUUUUCUUGGCCAUGCUGGGUUUUAUCGUAGAUUCAUCAAAGACUUCUCCAAAAUUUCUAGUCCAUUAUGCAAGCUAUUGGAGAAAGAUGCGAAGUUUGACUUUAAUGAUGAUUGCUUAAAGGCAUUUGAAUGCCUUAAAGAAAAACUCGUUGAAGCCCCUAUCAUGGUAACACCAGAUUGGACGCUCCCGUUCGAAGUCAUGUGUGAUGCUAGUGGUGUAGCCGUUGGUGCUGUUCUUGGACAGAGAAAGGAGAAAUUAUUUCAUCCUAUCUACUAUGCGAGUAAGGUCCUCAAUGAAGCCCAAAGGAACUACACCGUCACUGAACAAGAGCUAUUAGCGGUUGUGUAUGCGUUUGAGAAGUUCCGCGCCUACCUAUUAGGUACUAAAGUGAUCGUUCAUACAGACCAUGCAGCUCUUAGGUAUCUAAUGACAAAGAAGGAUGCAAAACCAAGGCUGAUUCGAUGGGUGUUGCUGCUGCAAGAGUUUGAUUUCGAAGUCAAAGAUAGAAGAGGUUGCGAGAACCAAGUGGCUGAUCACCUAUCUAGACUUGAGAAUGAGUAUGUGGCGCAAUCAGAAAAUCAGAUUGGCGAUGCAUUCCCUGACGAGGAGAUAUUAGCGACAACAAUAGAAGACUUACCAUGGUAUGCCGACUUUGCGAAUUUCGUGGUGAGUAAUGUGUUACCUACAAAUUUAUCUUACCACCAGAGGAGGAAGUUUAUGCAUGACGUUCAGCACUAUUAUUGGGAUGAGCCUUAUUUGUUUCGAAGAUGUGCGGAUGGUAUCAUUCGACGAUGUAUAUCCCAUGACGAAGUGCCCACUAUAUUAGAAGCAUGCCACACUUCGCAAGUUGGAGGACAUCAUGCGGGUAAUCGAACAGCAAGAAAAGUCUUGCAAAGUGGUUAUUAUUGGCCUACAAUAUUCAGAGAUGCACACGACUAUGUGAGAAGGUGUGACCAAUGCCAACGUCAAGGUGUUAUUUCAAAACACCAUGAAAUGCCCAUGUCCACAAUCCUGGAGGUAGAACUCUUUGAUGUAUGGGGUAUUGAUUUCAUGGGACCAUUCGUAAAUUCGUUUGGAAUGAAGUACAUCUUGGUUGCUGUGGAUUAUGUGUCGAAAUGGGUUGAAGCUGUAGCAUUGGCCGAUAAUGAAGGAAAGCGUGUUGUAGCGUUUUUAAAGAAGAAUAUCUUCUCUCGCUUUGGGGUACCUCGUACUAUCAUAAGUGAUGGAGGAUCUCACUUCUGCAACAAGCUAUUCAAAUCUGUAUUGGCCAAGUAUGGAGUCAAGCAACACAAGGUAGCUACGCCUUAUCAUCCCCAAACUAGUGGACAAGUAGAGGUUUCCAAUCGGGAGAUCAAGCAAAUCCUUGCCAAGACGGUCAAUGCGAAUCGGAAGGAUUGGUCUCGGAAGCUAGAUGAUGCACUAUGGGCGUAUAGGACUGCAUUCAAGACACCCAUUGGCAUGUCACCUUAUCAGCUAGUUUAUGGGAAGGCUUGUCAUCUACCCAUCGAGCUUGAAUACAAGGCAUUAUGGGCAUUGAAGCACUUGAAUCUGAAUUGGGAUGAUGUGAAGAACCUGAGGUUGGAGCAGCUGAACGAGCUAGAUGAAUUCCGUCUCCAUGCUUAUGAAAGAUCAGAUUUAUACAAGGAGCGGAUGAAGAAGUAUCACGAUCAGCGGAUUGUUCGACGACACUUCCAAAAAGGUGACAUGGUGCUACUCUUUAACUCCAGAUUCAAGCUCUUCCCAGGUAAGUUAAAAUCAAAGUGGUCUGGUCCAUUUAAAGUCACCCACGUCUACUCGUUUGGAGUAGUCGAAUUGGAAAAUAAUGAGGGUGUUAUCUUCAAGGUGAAUGGCCAACGUGUUAAGCCAUAUAUCGGUCCUCUUGACUCGAUAAAUGACAUGGCCAUCACUUAUCUCGACGAAGUCUAAGUACUCGAGAUUACUACGUCGAGCCACGACAAUAAAUAAGGCGCUAGAUGGGAGGCAACCCUUCGUUUUAUUGUUUUAUCGUUUUGUCGUUUUAGUAUUUUUUCUUUUUGAUAAAUGAAAAUCCAAAAAUAAGAGUCGUGCCACGACCAAAACUAAGGCGCUUGGUGGGAGGCAACCCAUCGUACUAAUCGUUUUCAUUUGUUUGAGCAAAUAUAGGUGUAAGAAGUAUGCAACGAGGAGAUUGAUUUCAAUUGACGAUUUGGUCGCGUUGUAUGGUAAAGGCGGUACAAUGGCACCGAAAGCAAGGCAAGGCAAGGAGAAGGCUACCACAACCCGCAAGGACAAAAAGAGAAGCCGAAAAGACCAAGGCGAAUCAUCUUCCGCACACCUACCACGCAGAAUGUUCGGAAUCAAAUGGGUUCUUGAGGAAGAAGCCAAGGCAUGGUACAGCAGCAACAAAGAAAAGAAAUAUGUGCACGUCGACUUAAUCAAUAAGGAGACCUUAGCAAAGAAGGAGCCGCAAAUGUUGGCUAAGAUUAUGGCUUUGAAGCUGGAUUUCAUCUUCCGUGACAUGGGAGAGUGCAAUCUUGACUUGACAAGAGAGUUUUAUGCCAACUGGUCGCCAAACACAACAGGCAACGAAGUCAAAAUUCGGGGCCAAGUGUUACAGCUUACAGCGGAUUGGAUCAACUCGUUUCUAGGCCUACCUUCGGUCGACACUGCACCAUACAAAGAGCUGUACAGCAGACCUCCUUACAGAGCUAUAAGACACACGCUUUGUGGAAGCAGAUCGAUGGCGAGAUGGGGCAGACAUAAGGAAACAGGCCGUCACAACACAUUCCCCUAUGCUCCACUAAAUAGGGAAGCAAGAAUCUGGAUGCGCAUUGUCAACUCAUGCCUCAUUCCUGGGACGCAAUACACAAAGAUAUCGAGAGAUAGAGUGUGCCUGGUUUAUUCAUUAAUGACGAAUGUCCCUAUCAACUUUGGGGCAAUCAUUCGAUCCACCAUGAGGAAAGCCAGACUGAUGUGAAUGUGAAUGGUCCUAUUUCACAUUCGGCAAUUUGUUGACAGCAAUGUUGCGGAAGGAGGAUAUAGAGGAGGAACCAGCUGACCACAAACUCCCACAUACCCCAAAGAAGGUUGACCUCACCAAGGUCAAAGAUGCUGAAACAACGCAUGGAGUCAACCUUACCACUGCGGAGAGACAUGCUCGUGACGAGAGUUUCUUCCGUCAUCUCUAUGGCAUGACGAGAUUCACUAUGAUGAGUGGUGGACGUAUUCCAACUGCUGAAGAGCUCCAACAGCUGGACCACGACUACCCAAUGAACAGACAUGCCCGGGAGAUGUGUGGAGUGGGAGUAUAUUUCGAGGAACCUCUUGAUGAUGACGUGCCAACUGAUGAUGAUAGACGCUUGCCUGAUUCUGAUGCUGAGGAGAACUCUGACGAUGACUCUUACGAUGACUCGAACGAAGGGGGUAUGACAUUGAGGAAGAGUCCGACUAAUCAGGUUCUUCGACUUUAUUUUCCACUGAGGGCAGUGUCUAGUCUAAGUGUGGGGUGUCGGCAGAAUCUGCAUGCUAUAUUUGUAUGUUUGCUUGUUUAUUUUGUUUUAUUUAUUUUGUUUUGAGUCCGAUUUUUUUUUGUGAUUUUUUUCGUGUGACGUUUUUUUUUUAGUUUUUAGUAGUUAAAAUUUUUCUAGCCUCGCAUGAAAUUAUUUUAAUAGGCAGCAUGAGAUUAUAACAAUAGUAUGUAUUACAAUUGUGACUAUUGAGACAUUUAGGCUCUAGUUGUGACUCAUUAUGUGAUAGUGUGUGAUUCAAUUCCUUCACUUGUUGGGUUGAGAGUCUAUAUUGCUACCAAUCAAGUCGACCAUGUGCCUUGUGUGUGUGAGAUAAUAGUAUAUUCUAUGUAUGUGGCUGAUGCUAGAACUUGCCUGGUAUGUAUGCAAAGCGAAAAUAAGGAGUGUAAGUUUAGGAUAUGAUUUAGGCAUUUCUUUGGCAACCUAUAUUUGUUUACCUUCAGUUUUACCUACCCAUGGACAUCAUCCUAGUUAAACCCUUUUGAGCCUUUAGCCUAUUUCUUUGACAACCUUGUAUGUAAGCCUAAUUCAUUUUUUUUUCAAGACCGUAAUUUGAUCCAAAUUCCUAAGUGCUUUAAAGUGAAAAAGUCAUGUGACAACAUAAGAGGAAAUUGGUUGAGUAUGAUGCUUUAAAUUGUAAUGGUGCUUGAAUAUGUUAUGAAAAAGAAAGUGCUAUCAUAAGAGGUAUGUUGUGAGAAGAAAAAGGAAAAGAAAGCUGAAAAGUGAGUUGUGCUUUAAAAUUGAAAAACAAAAGAGGAGAACAAGGGUGCUACAAAAAAGUGUCAAUAAUACAAUGUGAUGUAUUAAAGUGCUUAGGAACUUAGUCACUAUUUCUGGCCAAAAUAGUUGAUCCUACCCGUCCCUUAGCCUACAUUACAACCAUCAAAAGACCUACUUGAUCCUAACCUUAACAUUCCGACAUUUAGUGGAGUACUACAUUAAGGGCAAGCCUAUGGUCAUUAGCUGCUACAUAUGAAUUCUUUGUGAGAGUGAGCGCAAGGAUACUUUGCUGCCCAUGUUUGAAAAAUAUGCUAUACUUGUGAGUGAUUAUGGGUACUAUAUUGUGAGACACACAUGGUUGAUGAGUUUUGGAUAGUUGUAUAUGAUUCUAUGUACCUUAAACGUUUGCAUGCGAGUUGAUCACCAUCACGAGUCUAUGCUUGAGGUUAAAUUGUUUCUACUUAUAAUCGGAAAGCUACUCUUCGUUGAUAAUUGUUGUGCUUGUCUUGAAGAAUGUUUUGUGUUGUUUCUGUAAAAACCUUAAGUCAAUGCUUAGAAGGACAUGAUAUGUUGUUCGAGGACGAACAAAGCUCUAAGUGUGGGGUGUUGAUGAUAGGCGAAAUUACGCGCCUAUAUCAAUAUAUUUUGCCCAUAUUUUAGCCUAGUUUCGAGAACUAAUUAUCUAUUUCGUACACUUUUAGUCCUUUUUCCUGUAAAUGAGCUAACAAAUGUGAUUAGGAAAGUUUCAGGUAUAAAUGAUGCAAAAUACAGCAAUUUAUGGCUUACUUGACGCAAAAGAAAGCUCACAAACGAGAUGGAAAGGAGCUGGACGCAUAAAGGACUAAAUCUGCUGCAUGGAAAAUCUGUCCCGGGCUAAAACAGCAUUUCUGAAGACUUUGGGACUUACAGACACAAAGCUGGAUUUUUGCCAUAAUACAUUAACCUAGUGCAAUUAGGUUAUGUGUUUCAUCAUUCUAUUUGGAUUAUAAUUUUGUAACCUUACCCUAGUACAAUUGGGUCAAGGAUUUCAUUAGUAUAUUAGGAUUUGGUUAUUUAUUUUAUUAGUUUAGUAGGAGUAGGAUAGGAGUAUUAUAAAUACCCUAUCAUGUUAGAGAUUUUCAAGAAGGGAGACAUUCUGACAAUUCAUUCAUCUCCUUACAAUUAAGACAUCUUCCUACAACCCAUUCUCAAUUCUUCAUUCUUCUACUCUUAAAUUCCACAACAAGAGAAUCGUUACUUGCUACGGAAUCACUAAAACCACACGCCAAACACCUACUAUUCACGCCAUCCACCAUGCAAAGCGUGAUAUCCUUCGCAUUCAUGGGUAACUAAAUCUCUUAGUUGGGGUUAUGGAAGCCGAAUGAGUUACUAUCUAUAGCUAUGAGUUUGUGAGUUCAAGACAAGUAUAUUGCUUAUAUCAUUAUUCUCUUCAUCUUAAAUCUACAUUCUUUGCGGUUCAAACACAAGAACACGCCAUUCUAACAUCUAACCUGUUCGAGAGAAAGGUUAUUUGUCUAGAAAAGAAGACGCAUAGACCAACGCCAGUCUAACAUCUGACUUGUUCGAGAGAAAAGUUAUUUGUCUGGAAAAGAGAUAAUGUCAAGGUAGUAGGACACCCUUUCCUAUUAAAAAGCUAGUGCCGUACCUGGACUAACUUCUUGGAGAAUUCGUACCGUUAGUCACGCUUUAAGCUCGAGAGAGUUAAAGUGAAAUAGUCCUUGUUUAGGUCGAGAGACGCUUGGAUUUACCAUCGACUACAAUUCUCUAUAAGCAAUUACAUGUCAAGACUCUACACACUCAUAGCCAAUAGAGACGUAUACCUCAGAAGGUGGACAUAACCCCAACGCCUCAAUUCUCAUUGUUUACAACACACGUGACAAUCUCUCUUUAUUUUGCUAUUUUCAGUUCUUACCUUCUUGUUUUGGUUACAUACUACAAUCCCCCCUUUUCUACGAGACUUGCACUAAAAGUCUAGUAAUUUCUCUUGCUUGUUGGCCAAGCUAUUCUCUGUGGGAUCGAUACCCAACCCAGGUUGGGUUCUAUAUUUGCUAACGACCGCUUUACACUCCCACGAGAGCUGUAGAUUGAGCGUUAUCAGUUAGCAUGUUGAGCACUAGCAUGUAACUUAGAAAAAAAGGAUAACAUAAUGCCAUGAUCAACAGUUUAAAAUCAUUCAAAUCCAAUGCAAAUAAUCAAAUGCAUAUAUAUAUAUCACAUGCUGAGAUAGGGAACAAGGCUUAACAUGCACUUUAAAACUUUAGCCUAGAUUAUGUAGCUUAACCAUCAUAAUAGUAUUCAUGGGCUAUAUAGGCCCCAUCUCUCACCCUCUGGUCGGGCCCCAGUGCGUGUAGCCGUGCGAAUUGGAGAAUAAUCAUAUAUAUAUGCACGGGGGACUUGAACAUCCCAAUUAUAUACUAAGGUGACUUAAGCACUUAAAAGUUAAAUAUAACAUGGAGGACUCGAACCUCUCAGUCAUACAAUAAGGGAAACUCAAACCACCCGGUUAUAAGCAAGGGGAGUCAAACCCCAGGCCAUUUAGAUCCCCGCACUGCCAAAUGAGGUUUUUAGUAUUGGUCCUUCGGGACCACCACUUUCACGGACCAGCUACACAACCCUCUUUUAAGCCCCAUUAGAACACUUAUCACACAUUUCUAUUAAUUGAAUCAUAAUACACAUUAAGGCAAACACUAUUGGUAUCGUCAUACCAACUACACUUAUAAGGUAAUAUCAACAUGUCAAACCAAUUAUCAUCACUUGUGAGAAUUCACAUCCCUCUUGGUUCAAUAUACAUUAUCUUAGGGAAAAUAGAUAAUACCAAAAGGUUCAAUUCAAAACCAUUAUGCUUUAUUAGCCUUUCACAUUAUGUAAUAGUUCAACAAUAGUUCAAUGUGCAUACUUUUUAUAUUCAAAAUCAAUUUCACUAUAUGAGGUUGGGUUCAUUACCAUUUCAAUUGUCAAUAUUCACAAAAUUGAAGAAAAUCACAAACCCUAGUUUAUUCAGUAUGCCCAUGCACUCCAUAAGUUUAAAAUCAUUUAUAAAGCAUGAACAAUCAUACAUAACCCAUGGGAAACCCUAUUCAUAGGAAAACAUUUAAAACUAACAGCAAAACCAUAUGAGAGACUAUUUAAAAUGCAUGUUUUUUCAAUAUAAUAGAUGGGAAAAAGUAACAUGCUUGAAGGAUUCACAGUUAUGGAGAAGAAAUAUUGAAUUGACCCCUAGAUGCUCAACCUUGAGAAAACCCCAGCUUGUUUUACUUGAGAGAGUUUGAGAGGGUAAAGAGUGUUUUUGAUUUGUUUAAGUGUUAAAAUAAUGCUCAAAAGGUGUUUUAUGGACGUGGGGUCUAAGUGGGUAAAGAGAGAAAUGUACAAAGUGCCCCUAAAAUAAAAGACUAAAAAUUUAUCGCCCAGUCGCUACAGGUGACCUUACGACAAGUAGGGUCACCCUAAGACUCGUGACCCUUAGUUACAAGCCGGACAGUGUCCAGGUUCAUCACCACUAGUCUGGUUACCGAAGGACCAUAUGACUCGUUACAUUCUAGUCAUACUCAAGAUGAAACACCUUAGGUACCCACACUAGUCUGGUUACGAGUCAUACCUUACAACUCGUACCUAUACAUUACUAUUCAUUUGGUCAAGUCAUAGGAAAGAUAGAACAUUUUGGACAUCAAACUGGUUUUGCAAUGAUUGGGGUCUUAUAACCCAUAAUGACACCCUAUGACUCAUUGGCUGAGUCGUAGUCUAAUUAGUAAGCCCAUAAGUCAAGCAAAUUUCAAGGACCAAAAUCCGGGGUGUUUCAUUCUCCCCCACUUAGGACCAUUUUUCCUCAAAUGACGAAACAAGGCUUCCCUUAUCAUGAUUUAACACUGAAUACAGGCAUACUUACCUUUAACAAUGAUAGAAAACAAAGAUGUAAAGGAAAUCCCAAUUUUUUUUAACAAAGUCAAAAAACAAAAAUGCUAAGAUUAACACAUACCUUAAGCAGGAUUAUCCUAAACGGGGAACAAGAAUGGGUAUUUGGACCUCAGAUACUCUCCAAUUUCCCAAGAGGUUUCCUCCACCCCAAAUAAAGAAUAUAGUGACCCGUAUAUAUAACUACAUAUUUCUUCCAUGUUAAAAUCUGACUCGAAGUUAAUAGUGCUAGCGUGAGCUUUGGGACCCAUACUUUACACUCCUCCAAUAAUACUACCCUAAAUUUUCUUACUAUCGCAAGGGUUUCACCACAUCUCCCUUUUUUAACUAUUUCCUAUAAUGAAAGUUCGUCUUACUUUUCCAUUUUCAUCUAUGUCCAUAGCUCGAGUAGCCACCCUUAAAUUUUUUACAUCAGAGAAUGUUUACUCCACUAUAUAUAGAACUUAUACACUUCCAUAGCCACUACUAUACUACCAAAAAGAGUGUCACUAUGGAACAAGAGUACAAGCUUCAAGGAUGCGAGGGUUACUUCUCAAUUAUGACUCCUAUCAUUCGCUCUACUCAGCGUGAGACCUGUAAAAUGAGACAUAGGACACUAGGCAUAAAACACUUCAUACCAUCCACCUAGUUCAUAAGUAAAGGGUUGGUUCGACAUAAUUAUAACCUAGCCUAAGUUCUUCGGAAUGGGCAUAGUAAGAAACAUGAGUGCAUACAUUAUGGGCCAUAUAGCAUAAAUCUGGGAUUUGUAUAUACAGGAAGCUGGACAAGUUUUUUCGCUUGAAACUAUUCCCUCUCAUUCGAAGGACUGAGCAUAGUCAUGAUUUUGCAUAUAUAGGGUCACUUUGGGGGUGGGUCAUGACGUAAAAUGAAUCGGUAGCAAAUAGAAUGUACAGUUCCUUAGAACCAAGAAUACUAAGCUACUUUAAGAACUCGGACUUUAGGGCUAGGCACAAUCUGAAUACGCAAGACAUUGGUAGAAUGCCCUCCUAGCCAAAAUAGAAGGGAAUCGCUAAAACGGAGUAGAUUUACCACAACUCUUCCCUGAAACUAUCCACCAUAAGAAAAUUUUAAGAUCAGCCUUAGUUCACCAUCUCCCUCUGAUAGUCGUAAUAUGAAAACAUUGCCCUCCAAAGAUACUCAUCUUAACCUUUGCUAGCCCCUAUAGCUAUCACUAUAUGAAUCACACCCUCAUGAACAUACACAUCCACACUAAGAUAUUCAAUAACAUAAACUAGGAACAUCUAGCAUUUUCAUACUUAAAAUCUCAUCUAGCAAGAUGCUAACUGGGGCUCGAUAUAAUCUUAUAAAAUAUUAUACUCUUACCCACCUAAUGACUUAAUCCCAAUUCAUUACUUCAACACUAGACCUCUGGUAUGUAUCACAAUUACCCACUCCACUAUUUCAUAAAUUAUAUACCUAACUCUCUUUAUCACAUCUUGUCAAGCCUAUAAAUUUACUCCCAAGCUAACCCAUAGAGCUGGUUCCUGCUAAUAACCCUUAAUUCAAUGAGAAAACUUCAAACACUAGCACAUCCAUGUUCAUAGAAGGGAAUAAAGGAAAGAAGAGGUACCCGGUCCAAAUGGUCAUGAUAAAGAAAUCCCAACAAAACCACAAUCUACCAAAUAGUCUGACAAAGCCUCUAAAAAUCCAUAAUCUAGAGAGCUGAUGGGACAGUCCCCCAACUGACUCAGGAUGAACUACAGGUAAAAAUAUAGUCUUUCAGUCCCUGGAAUAUUUGAAGCUCGGUCUUAGAACCAAGAGGACUCACCACUGUAGGAAAUGUACGCGAGGUACUCAGAGAUCACUGGCGAGGCUGG
rnacentral:lncRNA from 1 species